UUUGAGCAUGUGCACAGGUCAAGACCUAAGAAGUAUCUUAGAUAUACAUUUGUUAGCAUGCUUAUUCGCAUAGAAACAUACAUUGCAUCCAUGCAUCUAAAAGACAUAUAUCGUAUACUAAAACAGCUCAACUAAAGAAAAGAACAAGACCUCAUCAAUGAAUAGAACUCCUGGUACAAGCUCUGCAACACCUUCAUCAAUAUACCGGUUAACUACCUGUCACAAACAACAUUAUUUCAAUUAAAAGGCAUGCCAUCUUUCUAAGAAACAAUUGUGCAUAGCAGUUGAAGUCAAUCCCACAUCAUAAGCCUGUUUCCAAAUUGGACAGGAAGUCCAUCUGACUCUAAAAGUUUAACCGUGUACUAUAUUGUUAGCUUCUAGGGAGCUGAUCAUAACAGGAUUCAUACUAAUAGUAGGAUUAAACCAGAGAUUAGCUGAUAAGACUUCGGCUCUUAAACAGAAGAUUCCAAGUAAUACUAUUAAUGUAUUGGUGAGAGAAAUCACAGCAAUGGUAAAACAAUACUGCCUAUUGUCCAUAAAAAUCGUCAUAAAAUGGACCUCAAAUAAACUAAUAUAGUAUGCAUAUGAUAGUUACACUUGAGUCUAAAUAGCAUAGCUUCUUAAUUGUCCAUUCAGCAUUGCUGUGUGCUUUUCUGCGUUUAUAUUACUAGAAAGUUUGAACCGUUUGUUAGCAUUUAUAUGCAGGUAUGUUGUUUCUGUUCUUGGUUAUUAUGCCAUCCUUACUAUUUAUGCUCUGGUUUCUAGCUGUCAGUUGCACUUUGUGGUUUUACUACUUCAAAACACAAGAUCUUCUAGAAAUCUUCUUAAAAAAAUCAAUAAGCUAAUGAUACUCCAAGUGGGCAUCAAUAAGUUUAGGAACUCAAUCAUAUGCUUCAUCUUUCAGUCUGUCAUUCAGUUGUCUGGUACAUGAUGUUUAGCUAUAUUAUUGUGAAUCUAUGGAUUCUUUUUGAGCCUUUAAUUCUUAGAACUUAUGAAAAUAUCCGAAUACAUAAAGCAAUUUUUGUUUUUUUCUUACAUCUGUUCUAGGUACUGUCCAGCAUCUAAAUUAAUAGUUGUUGCAAAUAAAUACACCACAGCUAUUGACAUCUGUUCUAGGUACAUGUUUCGUUUCUUAAUUACUUAACUUAUUUCUAUGCAUUUUUCCUUUAAAUUACUUAACAAAUACUAUUUUUCUGACUCCAGCCUCUGUUUCCUGGUGAGAGUGAAGUAGACCAGCUUGUUGAAAUUAUUAAGGUACGUUUUAGUUCAAAAUUCGCAUAAAUAAUAGUUUCAUCAUGAUGAUUUUGAAAAAAAAUCAUUUUACUUAGAUAUAUGAUUUGGUAUGAAGUAAUGAUAAGUAUGGUUUAUAAUUAGCUCAUCUUGGUAAGAUUGUUAAUUGGUAUGAUAUGCAUUUGUGGUUGUUAUUUUUCUGACUCAAGUGAAUUAAGUAUGGUUGUUGGAUGUGUUUUGGGUAUGGUUUAUUAUUGAAUUACAUUUUGACUGUAAUUUGUUUAUUCAUUAGUUUCGGAAAUGGCAGUGAUGAGAUGUUAUAUUUGGUUGAUGAUAGAUAAAUAAAUACAUAUGUACUUAUGUCAUGAAUUUUGGUGAUUUGGGAUGUAAAUGUCAAAUUGUUAUAUAUAUAUGUUAUUGUAUGUUCAGCUAUGAUAUUUGACUAUUUAUGUUUGGUUUACGAUGGCAAGAAUGAAUAUGUUUUAACUGUUAUAUUGAAGUCAUAUUAAAUGACCGAAUAUAUAUAAAUUGAUUUACUUGUGUAUAUGAAAUUUCAGCAUGAUUUAUAGCAUAUGAAAUUGACAUGUUUUAAUUUGGCUAAAUGACAUGAAAAAUGAUUAAUGUUAGUCAAGUGAGCAAUGUAUGAAUUGGUUAUGUUGCAAGUGAAAUUUGCUUAUUUAGAUAUGCUUGUAUGUGUUUGUACAAUUUUGCUUACUUAACCAUGAGGUAUAGUUCAACUUACAGUAAUAUGCGCAUGUGGGAUAUCCUUUAUGGGAUAGAAAAACAAGCACACCCUUUAUUUCAUAACAUUAAUCAAAUGUAUGAAUUGCAGCCCUUUAAAUGUAUGAAUUGCAGCCCUUUAAAUAAACUUGAACCAGGCCUGAUUCUUGUAGCUUAAUUAUUAUUUGAAGUAUGAAUAAGUUUUUAUAUUUGGUUCAACUUAAUUAUUAUUUGAUUCAACUUAAGUAUGAAUAAGUAUGAAUUAAUUUUAUUACCAUGUAGAUUGCUUGUCCAUUAAAUUUACAACAAUAGCUGACCUUCUUUCCAACCUUAUUUUAAAUAUUUUAAAGAUUCAAAGUAUAUAGGCUGGAAACCUGACGGGUUGCCUUAUAUCGAGCUGUAAGAUAUAAUGGAUCCUCCCUAGGUGUAACAACGCCACGUAUGAUGAAUCUUAAAAAAUUCAAGAAGACUUGAAAAAAGUUCUAUCGAGCUCAUUUACUAUUGAAUAUUUAUUACCAUAUGUAGCUUGCUUGUCCAUUAAAAUUACAACAAUAGCUGACCUUCUCUCCAACCUUAUUUUAAAUAUUUUAAAGAUUCAAAGUAUAUAGGCUGGAAACCUGACGGGUUACCUUAUAUCGAGCUGUAAGAUAUAAUGGAUCCUCCCUAGGUGUAACAACGCCACGUAUGAUGAAUCUUAAAAAAUGACUAUAUUCAAAUUACUAUUUUUUUAUAUUAAUAAUGUUUGAUUUUAAUAUUUAAUAAUUUUAAAUGUCUUUAAAAGUUAUAACUAAUUUUUAUCAAAAUAGUAUUAAUAUUGAUCAUUACUUAAAUAAAUUACAUAACUUACAUAACUCAUAUAACUUACAUAAUUUACAUAACCACUUACAUAACUCACAUAACUUACAUAAUUUACAUAACUCACAUAACGUACAUAACAACUUACAUAACUUAACUAAUACAUGUAGUGUAAUCUAAUAAUUUCCUUAAAAGCAUAUAGUUUAAAGUUUAAAUUUCAUAACUUACAUAAUCUACAUAACUUACAUAAAACAUAAAGAUAUAUCAUAUCAAGACUUACAUAAUAAAUAGCUUACCUGUGUAAUUUAUUGUCAACUUUAGAAUUCAAGAACUACGAAAUGGAUAGGAGUUGGAUGAAAUUGUCAAGGGUAAGCAACGCCUAUCGAAAUGGAGUACAAACUUUUAUGAAUUUUGCAUUUCAAAAUGCAAGCCAAGAGAAUAUGAUUCUUUGCCCGUGUAAGAAGUGUGGCAACAUCAAUUGGCAUACUCGUGAAGUUGUCUACGAACAUCUAAUUGUUGAUGGCUUUAUUCGGGGGUAUAAAAAAUGGAUUUUCCAUGGAGAGUGUACAUCUAGUGGAACUUCUUCAAAGAUUAAUCCGACUUAUCCUGAUACUGAUUACCAUCAGUAUGUUAGACAAGAUGACAUGGAAGGUAUGUUGCGGGAUGCAUUUAAUAUGCACAGUCAUGGUGAGCAAUCGUUUCCACCUAACUUUAUUGCAUCCGAUGAUUGUAAUAUUGGUGGAAAUGUUUUUGGCGAAACGGGAACAAGUGCACCUUAUGAGGAGCCAAAUGAAGAAGCGGCGAAGUUCUACAAUUUACUUAAUGAAAUGAACGAAGAACUUUACGAGGGAUCAAAAUAUUCGAAAUUGUCCUUCUGCAUUCAUUUAUUUCACUUAAAAUGUUUGGGAGGGUGGACUGGAAAUUCUUUUACAAUGCUGCUACAGUUUUUGAGAGAGAUGUUUCCUUUUGCAAAAAUCCCCGAAUCUUGUCAAGAUAUGAAGAGGCUAAUAAAAGAUUUGGGCCUUGGGUACGAUAAAAUUCAUAGUUGCCCAAAUGACUGCAUGUUGUACUGGGGUGAUCAGAAGAACCAACAGUGUUGUAAUGUUUGCGGCAAGUCUCGUUGGAUAAAUGGGAAUACAGAAGAUGUGAAUACAGAUUAAGGUGGGGCACAGUUAAGAAAGAAGCCAGUCAAGGUUUUGCGAUACUUUCCCCUAAUACCAAGACUUCAAAGGCUUUUCAUGUCGUCAAAGACGGCCGAAUCUAUGAGGUGGCAUAAUGAUCAACGGACCGAUGAUGGAUUAUUAAGACAUCCUGCGGAUUCUUUAGCUUGGAAAUCAUUUGACUUGAAAUUUUCAAGCUUUGCAAGCGAUCCUCGAAAUGUGAGGCUUGGGCUAGCAACUGACGGCUUUAAUCCAUUUAAAAUCAUGAGUACUUCGUACAGUACUUGGCCUGUGGUGCUUGUUCCUUACAAUUUGCCUCCAUGGAUUUGCAUGAAGCAAUCUUCGUAUAUUUUAUCAAUGAUUAUUCCUGGAGAGAAAGGUCCCGAAAAUGAUAUUGACAUCUAUUUGCAGCCACUUAUUGAAGAGUUAAAACAAUUAUGGUCGGGUGUUGAGACAUAUGAUGUAUUAAGAAAAGAUAACUUUUAUUUACGUGCAGCUUUAUUGUGGACAAUUAAUGAUUUCCCGGCUUAUGCUAAUUUAUCGGGUUGGAGUACUAAAGGACGUUAUGCUUGUCCUUGUUGUACUGCGCAAACUUGUUCGAAGUGGUUGUACAAUGGGAAGAAGUUCUCUUACAUGGGCCAUCGUCGGUGGUUAGAUGGAAAUCAUAAAUUUAGAUUUCAGAGGACUCUAUUUGACGGUACUGAAGAGUACAGAGGAGCUCCUCAGCAGACCGUUGGAUCUGAAAUCUUGUUUAUGUUAAAAGAUAUCAACUUUAGUUAUGGGAAGAUGAAUCAAUCACCUAACACGAGAUCAAAGAGAAUAUCGAGGGAUGAAUCUGAUGAUGAAUCUGACGAAGAGGAUGAUCCUAAUGAGGCAGACUUGUGGAAAAAAAGAAGUAUUUUUUUUGAGUUACCUUAUUGGGAGCAUAAUAUUUUACGUCACAAUCUUGAUGUCAUGCAUAUUGAGAAGAAUGUCUGUGAGAACAUAAUUGGGACAAUUUUGAAUGUCGAUGGAAAAUCAAAAGACAAUCUUCAGAGUCGACUUGAUUUAGUUGACAUGAGAAUUCAGCGUGAUCUUCAUCCUCAAGUACUUCCGAAUGGGAAAUAUCAGUUGCCGCCUUCUAUUUUUUCAAUGUCAAAUGAAGAGAAAGAGGUGUUUUGUAUGGUGUUGAAGGAUAUAAAGGUCCCAGAUGCGUAUGCGUCAAAUAUAUCUCGAUGUGUGAGUCUUAAAGAUCGAAGAUUAUAUUCAUUAAAAUCACAUGAUUACCACAUCUUGAUGCAAGAUUUACUCCCAGUUGCUUUACGGUGCUGCAUGUCAAAAAAUGUGACGUCCUGUAUAAUUGAACUAUCCAAUAUAAUGAAAGCUAUUUUGUGGCAAAGUUUUGGAUGUUGAAGAACUUAAGAAAGUACAGGAUCGAGCUGCUUUGACUUUAUGCAAAUUGGAGAAGAUCUUUCCACCUUUCUUCUUCACUAUUAUGGUGCACUUGGUAAUCCAUCUCCCUCACGAAGCAAUACUUGGUGGACCGGUUUUUUAUCGAUGGAUGUAUCCAAUAGAAAGGUGCUAAUUUAUUUGUCAAGUAUUUAUUUAUUCGCGUCUAUACAUUUAGUUAUAACUUUUGAUAAAUAUUGUAUAUCGUGUUUAGGUUCCUAAGCAAAUUGAAAUCAUAUUGUCGCAAUAAGCGUUAUCCAGAAGGAUCAAUUGCUGAAGGCUACUUGGCAGAGGAGUGCAUGACAUUCUGUUCUAGAUAUUUAAAAGAUGUUGAAACACGAUUGAAUAGACCAAAUAGAAAUGCUGGGCUCAAUGAUCAUAACUUGGCCGAAACUUAUUUAUUCCAAAGUUAUGGAGAACCAAUCGGCAAAGUUGAAAUUGCAGAAUUAGAUGAUAUAUCAUGGAUACAAGCACAUCGAUAUGUACCUUUUCACCACGAUUUAGUUGAACCGUUACGCAAGUAAGUUCUAAAAUUUCCUCACAUAUUUGUCGUUUUGAUUUGUUUAUCUUCUAACCAAAUACACUUGUUUUUAACAUAGUGAAUACAAACAAAUUUUGAGAUCUCGUGCACGCUCUCGAAGAUUGCAACAUCGAGAGAUUAAUAAGUUAUUCACAGAAUCUUUUCAUGAAUGGUUAAGUCAAACGGUAUGUAACUAAAGUUAAUAAGUUACAUAUAAUCCCGAAAUUUAGUUAAUUAUUCAAUUUACUUUCGAUUCAAUAGGUUUGGAGUGGAAAGGACGUCAAUGACGAAGUUAAAUGGCUUUCCCAAGGUCCGAAGAAUAAUAAAAAGAUAUAGUGCCUUCCUCAUCAAUGGAUACAGAUUUCAUACAAAGUAUCAUGAGAGAAUGAGGAGAACUCAAAAUUGUGGAGUUGUUGUUAAUUCUUCAAUUACAAGUUAUGCUAGUGUUAGGGACAGUAAUCCGGUUGAGGGUAAUGUGGAGUAUUACGGACUUAUUACCGACAUUAUUGAGUUGGAUUACUAUGGCAGAUGGAAAGUUGUCUUAUUUCGGUGUGAUUGGGCUAAUGUUAAUACUGCUCGAGGAAUUAAAGAAGAUCAAUUUGGUUUUACAAUGUUGAAUUUCUCUCGCUUGAUUCACACUGGACAACAAUUGAUGGACGAGCCAUAUGUAUUUUCCUCUCAAGUGAAACAAGUUUUUUAUUCGAAAGAUCCAACUGAUGAGGGUUGGUAUGUUGUACUCCGGAACACCCCUAGAGACUUGUUUGAAAUGGGUAAUGGAAGUAGAGAUGACAUCGUCGAAAGAUCAGAAACAUUACCUUUUCCAGAACAAAACUUAGAUGAAAAUAUCCCUAGUAAUAAUACACAACAUCAAUGGGUUUGACAUGAUGUGGAUGAAGAUAUUUACGAAUAAUGAUGUAGUAAGAUUUUACAAUUUUUUAAUUAUAUGUAAUAUUAUAAUUUUAAUCUUUGUCAUGUUAUAUAAUUUAACUAUUUUAUUUGUACUACUAUUGUUGUAAUUUUUUACUAAAACUUUAAUUAUUUUAUGUGUAUUGCAGGAAAAAUGCGUAGAAGAAGAGUACGAGAUUUAAGUAUUGUCCAGAAUACUCCAAAUUCGGAAAAAAGAAAUAGUGAACAGCAGACAGUUGUUGGAUCUUCGAAUGUGCCGGAGACAUUUGAUGAGCCUGAAGAAUUUCAAAGUAAUAUUAUGUUCAUUUUACAUGUGUUGACUUUUAUUAUUGAAUUAUUUGUCAAUUUAAAUAUAAUAAUAGUAUAUCAUUUUUCAGCUGAAAGUGGUGGGACGCGCAGAGUUCGAGGACGUACGCUACUUAGAGAUUUAUACGACUUAGAUCCUGUCGAGCGUGUUAAAGUAAGUAGAAAUACUCAUGGUCAGCCUGUUGGAUCUGAAGCUCGACUUUUAGCAGGCUAUUUGGGCAUUUUAGCACGAAAUGCAAAUAUGUUGCCCAUCAACUACGAAUCAUGGCAUCACAUGCCUGAUAGCAACAAAAACCAGGCUCUCGCUAAUAUUAAGGUAACAAAAUGUGAAUGCAAUUUAUAAUACUUUGGUUUAAGUUUCAUUUAUAUUUACAUUCUAAACUUAUGUUUUUUUAGGAGAGAUUUGCUUUAGAAGUCUCCGAUGAUUAUAUCAAGAAGGCAUUAGGUAAAAGAUGGAGAGACAAUAAAAGCACUUUAAAGAAACAAUAUUUUAAGAAAGACAUAAGCCUCGAGGAAAAACUGAGAAAUGUUCCGCCAGGAAUGCUGAGGUAUCAAUGGGAAGAUGCGGUUAGAUUUUGGAAUUCAAAGAAAGGAGAGGUAUUGCGUAUUUCCAAACUCUUAUAUAUAGUGUUUACUAUAUACGUAAUAAUAAUUUUAUUAUGUAGGACCGUGAGCGAGUUGGAACAAGCAGCAGGCAAAAACAAAAAUUCACGCACACGGCAGGGUCGAGAAGUUUUGCUUCUGUAGCUGAGGCCGAGGUAUUAUGAAUUUAUUAAUUCUUUCAAAUAUUAAUAACUUUCUAUUAUUAAAUAAUAUUCUUACUACUAUAUUGUAGGAAGUCAAAUCCGGACAAAAAGUUGGAUGCCUUCAGCUUUUUGAGAUUACGCAUAGGAAGAAAGAUGGAUCUCUUAUGACAUCCGAAGCUGGAGAAAUUAUGGUAUAUUCACUUAAUAAUAUUUGAUUUAUUCUAAAUAUUUAUAAUCUUUAAUUAUAAUUGUUUAAUUCAAUUCAUCAUUAGUAGUUUUAAAAAAUGUUAAGUUAUGUUGCAUUUCUUUUUAUUAUAUAUUUCAUUUCUAACUCUUUAAUUGAUUUUUUAGGAGAAACUAAAGGAGAAGAAGGCGGAAUAUGAAGCGAUUGCUUCGAGUGAUAGUUCUGUUAAUCUUGAGAACAUUGAUAACAGAAUUAUCACUGAAGUUUUGGGUCCUGAAAGGUACGGUCGGGUUCGAUUUCAAGGAUCUGGUGUUACCCUGACCCAAUAUUUUGGAUCCGGCUCCCAGCAAUACAUGCCUUCUAGAAGUCAAGCUCAAGCUGAAGUUCAGAGGUUAAGAGACCAGAUAGCUCAGAUGCAAGCGAACACAGUUGAGCAAAUUGCCGAGGUUCAACGAAAAUAUGAAGAAUUCCAGCAACAACUUAGAGCGGAGGCAGCAGAGAGGGAGGCAGCGGCUGUAGCGAGAGAGGCAGAGGCACGAGCGAUGGUAGCAGAACAGAGCAAAAAGUACGAUGACCUCCAGCUACAGCUUUAGCAGAUGAUGCAUAUGUUUCAACAAUUGCAAAAGUCACCGUCUUAGACAUUAGUUUUCUCAUUGUAAGAAUGUUUUUAAGUUUUGUCACGUUUAACAUUAUUGUAAAAAUAUUUUAAAUUAUACUUUAUUUAUUAAUUAUAUCAUAUAUCUUUAGUUAAAUUUGAAGUAUCAUUUAGAAUUAAUGUUUUUGGUUGUAUUUUUUAUAUAAAAUUUCCUGUUUUUGGCUGCAUUUUAUAUUAUAUUUGUUAUAUUUGGUUGGAUUUUAAUGCAGGAAGGGCUGGAUAUUGGUGAAAAAAAAUAUUACAAAUCUGCCAAAUUUAGCGGCGUUUGUGGGAAAAGCGCCGCUAAAAGCCUUGACCUUUAGCGGCGCUUUUCCCACAAAUGCAGCUAAAAGACUUGACCUUUAGCGGCGCUUUACCCACAAACGCCGCUAAAAACCUUGACCUUUAGCGGCGCUUUCCCACAAACGCCGCUAAAAACCUUGACCUUUUGCGGUGCUUUUCCCACAACCGCCGUUAAAAGACUUGACCUUUAGCGGCGCUUUUCCCACAAACGUCGCGAAAAGCCUUGACCUUUAGCGGCGCUUUUUUCCAAUAAAUGCCACAAAUUUUUGUGGCGUUACCUAUAGCAGCGUUUUUUGCGGCGUUUUAGAAAGCGCCGCUAAAAGUUUUAGUGGCGCCUAAAAGUGCCGCUAAAGGCUAAAAAAAGCGCCGCUAAAAGUCUAUUUUCCUGUAGUGAAUGUAUUUAUAUUAGGUAACUUGUGUCGGUAUUUAUCAUUGUCUAUAUUAUAUUUACAUGAAAUGUUAAAAUAUGUAUCAUGUAGUUUAUAUUAUUUAGUAUUGAUAUCUUGUAAUAUGCUAAAUGCAUCAUUGUUUUAAAAUUUUUUAUAUUUUAUUUAAUCCAAAAGAAAUUUAAAAGUAAGGCAAUGUCUUUUGUAUUUAGGAAUUCGGGAAGUAGUGCCCUAACAUGCUGGGUUGCGAUUUCCCGUUUGUCUAAAUGCCUAAAGUAUCCUUUUAAAUAGACUUUGUAAAUCAUGAGAUGAUUUCAGUUAUGAAAGUUUAAGAAUAUCGUGUCCAAUCAUGCUGGAUGUGAUGUUUGUACUCUUUUUGUAGCGAAGGAAUCUCGAUUUUCAACUCAAAUUAUUCCGGUUUAAAAAAGGAUCUUACUUUUAAAUUCUUUCAAACUUUUGACAUCAAGACAGAAAAUUAUUAAAUUUGGUACCAAUUUUGGGUGUUGCGAGGGUGCUAAUCCUUCCUCGUCCGUAAUCGACUCCCGAACUUGUUUUCUCAUAUUUUUGUAGACCAAAAUGUUUUAUAAGGUGAUCCAAUCACACCUAAAAAGGUUGGUGGCGACUCCCGUUUUCAAAAGUCCCCCUUUUAAAAAAAGGUUUCGACAUCUUGGCGACUCCGCUGGGGAAGAAUAAGAGAGUCAAGCCAAGAAAUUGAUUAUUUUCUGUUUUAAUGUCAGAAGUUUGGAAAAUUUUAAAAAUAUUGAUCUUUUUGCAUGUGUUUUCUCCAUAUGUUUGUUAUUUUGUUUCCGCACACAUUGCAUUUACAUGACCGCUGUGGUUGCACCCUUAAGUGGGAGUGAGAAGCUACGCUUUCGUGAGGUUUUCACCUCCGCAUGAGCUAGUGGAUUGCUUCUGGGAUACAUCCGUACCUAUGUCUUCGUGAGGUUUUCAUCUCCGCAUGGCCAUAGGGAACACUACAGGAAAAUAGGGCUUUAGCGGCGUUUUUAGUGGCGUUUUAUUAAAAAACGCUGCCAAAAUUUUAAAAUUCAGAGCAAUAGCGGCGUUCCAAAAAAAACACCGGUAAAAACAGAACAACAGCGGCAUUUUUUACUAAAAAUAGAGCAUUAGCGGCGCUUUAGGGAAAACGCCGCUAAAAACCAGGGCAUUAGCGGCGCUUUAGGGAAAACGCUGCUAAAAACCAGGGCAUUAGCGACGCUUUAGGGAAAACGCCGCUAAAAACCCCACAACCCCUAAACUCAAAAAAAGAAUCAUAAACACUAAUCUCUAACCUCUAAAACAAAAAAUUAUUAAAAUUUAUGAUUAUACAAUAUAUUAAAUAUUUUCUUAUAUAAUCAUAAAAGAGAUAGUAUUGAAUUUAAAAUAUUGAAUUAAUUAUCAUUAUAGUUUAAGGUUUAUGGUUUAAGAUAUAUGGUUUAAGAUGGUUUAAUUAUGAUCGUUAACUAUGGUUUAAGGUUUAGGAGUUAACUAGUAUUUGAAGGUUUAUGAUGAAUUCGGGGUUUAUGGAUUAUGAUUUAGGGUUUAAAGGUUAGGGUUAAAGUUUAGAUUAAUGGGACAAUUAUUAACUUCUUAAGAGAUAAUUUCCUUUCCAGAUUCUUACUUGGAAUGCUAUUAAGAAAGGGUGAUUUUGAAUGUGGAAUUAGCAUUUGUUGAACUAUGUAUAAAUUCCAAGCUUAUAUAACAUAGAAAUAUCUUACGGAGUGGACAUUAUAACUAGAGUGUUCCAAUAGAUCUAGAGAAUUAAUUGUUUUAUUAAAGUUAUGUAACUUUGUAUAAAUAAUAAUGCUAUUGUGUAUUUUUAAUUAUCUAUUUUUUCGUUUAAAUAUAUUUAGAUUAAAUAGAAUGUCUGAAAUAAAAUAUGUUAAAAAUUAAGUUUAGGUUAAGGGUUUAAGGAAAUGAUACUAUUAGUUUAACUGAAGAACAUUUGGAUUUUACUAAGAUUCAUGUUAUUUUGUAUAUACGUACUCAUAAUAUUAUUUAAUAUAAGAAUAUAAACAUAUAUAUAUGUGUGUUUUAAUUUGUACUACACUAACAUUGGCCACACGAAUUCCCAAAAAUAUGUUUAUUAUGGUUUAGGGUUAACAGUUUUUUAGAGUAUACUUUAUAGUUUGGGCUUUAUGGUCUAGGAGUUAUGGUUGGUUUAGGGGUUAUGAAUUGUUUUGGGGUUUAAAGUUUGGGGUAAGGGGUUUUUUGUUUGUGGUCUAAGGUUUAAGGUUUAGAGUAUCAGGUUUAGGGUUUUAAAUUUAGAGUAUAAUUUUGGAUUUUAAUUUAGAAGAUAAAUGUAUAUAAGAUAAAUAUAUAUAAAAUAUUAUUUUAAAAUAUAUAUAAAUAUAUAUAUGAAAAGUGGUUUAGUGUGCAAUUGUGUACAUGAACUGUAAUUUGAUCUAGAUCUUGUAAAAUAUUUACACGUUAUUGAUAUAAUAAACAGCAUCAUGUUUUUAUUUAAUUAAUUAAUUUAUAUGCAUACAUAAUAUGUAUUUUAAAAUGUGUAUUAAAUCAAAAUUAAAGUUUCAACUAUAGUUAGGGUUUUAGGGUUUAUAUAUAAUUUAAAAGAAAUUCUAAAUAUAUAGUUUUAAAUUUUGAUCAAUUUCUAUAAAAUAUUCAGGUAUUAGCGGCGUUUAUACAUAAAACGCCGCAAAAGAUAGAAAAUAGCGGCUUUUUUUUAGAAAACGCCACAAAAUUUCAUUAUACAUUAGAGUAAAACGGCAUCGUUUCCUCUGAAUAGUAGUGGCUUUAGCGGCGUUUCUAUAAUAAACGCCACAACGCGUAUUAGAACGGCGUCGUUUUAUAGUGUAGAUAAAAUAGGUGUUAUUGGCGCUUUGUUGAAAACGCCGCAAAAGGUCUUAUUAGCGGCGCGUUGCUGAAAACGCCACAAAUUUUUCUUAUUUGAAACGGCGUCGUUUUUUCUCUCCUGAGGUUUAUGCUCUUUACCCGAAAUCAGUUUCAUUUUUUUUCUAAGUCAUUUUCCCCCAUCUCGUCUUCCUUCCCCAAAUCCCUAAAACAAACACCUUUUUUUUUCCCCAAAUCAUCCCCUAAUUCCCCCAUUCCCGAAAUCCCUUACUAUUUUCCCUUUCCUCUCGUCGACGGUCAGAUGCUUCAUGGGAAGAUAAUGGUUAGUUUUUUAGUCCCCUUUAGAUUAAUGUGUAGUUACUGUAUUACUUGGCUUUUAUUUUUUUUUUGGAAUUAAGAUUAAAUGACUGAACUUGCUAUUUUGAACAACCACUUCCUUUCUUGAUAUGUAGUGUAUGCUGGAAUUUUAUUACGUCUUCUUCUCUUGUAGACUUUUCUGUCAUUCGUGUAAUUAAAUGUUAUUCAUGGAGAACUUGCAACUCGUUUUUAGCACAUUACCUCUGCUCUAAUUUGUUCAGUUGCUAUAGCAGUCUGGGAGUGAUUAUGCUCUGGCCAUGUUGCUUUGGCUUUUAAUUAUAUCCUCCAAUGGCAGCACUGGAAAACUUUUCCUUUAUUUCCAAAAAUGUUGACCCACCACGGAUCUGCUGCUUUUUCUUGACCCUUUCAAAAUCCAUUCCAUUCAAUUCAAUUCCUUCCAAUUCUUUGUAAGUUUUUUAAUCGUUACAUUCGAUUUUUUCUGAGAGAUCUUCACAAAGUUUCAAGCUUCUUAAGCAUUUCUUUGAUCUAGAAUGGAUAGUAAUUAUUCAGCUAUACCCAAAGGCUCAUUUGUAGAAUUACAAAUGCAUAAUGAACACCACGACUUUAGAUCCCAACAAAAAUCGCUCCUCUCUGAUGAUGGGAACCGGGUAAAUCAUCCCAAGGUUAUUGCUGAUUUUGAUUAUCUUAAUGAUGAUGAUGAUGUUGAUACUAAUGUUGAUGUUGAUCUCGAUGAUUAUACCCUUGUUUUAAGUAAACCCAAUACCGGGUCUGGUGUUUCUGGUGCUGUUUUUAACUGAACCACCACAAUUAUUGGUGCUGGAAUCAUGGCUUUACCUGCUACUAUGAAGGUUCUGGGGCUUGUUUUAGGGAUUCUCGAUCAGUGGUUAGGACUGGUUCGGUUCGUAAUGUCUGGGUGAUGUUAUGUCUGGUUUGGUUCAUCAUAUUGGGGUUCUCGAUCAGUGGUUAGGACUGGUUUUGGGGAUCAUAGGAAGUUAUUGGUUUUGGUUGUUAUGGUUAUUUUUCUUGCUCCACUUUGCAUGUUAGAUAGGAUUGAUACAUUGAGCAUGACUUCGGCUGCUUCGGUAGCUCUCGCUGUUGUUUUCGUUGUGGUUUGCUUUGCUGUUGCAUUCAUUAAGCUUAUUGAAGGGAAGAUAGAGGCUCCAAGGAUGAGCCCAGAUUUUGGAUCGAAAAUGGCAAUUUUGGAUUUAGUAGUAGUUAUCCCUAUUAUGACUAAUGCAUAUGUUUGCCAUUUCAAUGUUCAACCUAUAUACAAUGAGCUCGAAGGUGAUGUUUUGACCAAUUUUGAUAGGAAUCUGGGAAUUCAUUUUAGCACUGCUUUGAAUUAUAUUUUCUCUUCAUUUGGUUCUGGUUUUCCCUGUUAUUCACUUUUCUCUACGGCAAACUGUGGAUAACUUGGUGUUUGAGGGAUCAGCUCCUCUCACGGAGAGUAAAAAAAGGUGUUUGGCAUUAACAGUAAUAUUGUUAGUGCUUAUAUAUAUUGGAUCUACUAUGAUCCCAAAUAUAUGGACAGUUUUCAAAUUUAUUGGAGCAACAACAACUUACUGUCUUUUAAUAUGUAUACAAUAUAACUUACUGUCUUUUAAUGGUAUUGAGCUUGGUCUUAUUUCUCCUGUUAAUGUUAUACCAAAUUGCUGGCUGUUUUUUUUAAUCAUUUUAUUUGGUUAUUCCCACCUGUUAUUAUGCAAUAUAAUUAAUAUUAUACCAAUCAUUAAAUGUUGUUUAUUUUUAGAACUCAUUUGAUUGUUUUGUCGACCAGAAACAGACUUUUGUUCUUCAAAUGCAAUGAGUAGGAAAGUCUCUCGACAUUAUUAGAGAUCAAUCCCAAACAUCUCUAAAUAAACCCUCAAGAAAACAUUUCCAUUUCAAUCAAGGUAACAUGUUUUUCCUAACAUUUAUGUUUCUUUUAACAUGUUUUUCCUUUUAUGUUUUCAAUGUUUAAUUAACAUUUAAUUACAUUCCUAAAUUUUCAAUGUUUUUCCUAACAUUUAAUUAACAUUUUAAUUACAUUCCUAAAUUUUUAAGCUUAUUUCAUCCACUCUUUUUUGUGUUUUGUCUCGAUUUGGCUUCCUUCGUUAAGUUUCCUGUAGAAGCUUACUUAUCUUUUAUUUUCAAUAAACAGAUUUAGGUAAUGGAAGAUGUAUGCCUGUGUGUUUGUGUCUCUAUAUAUGUAUGUAUUUGGUACUAGAUGAAAGCUUUAUUCCAGUUUUGAAAUAUAGACCAAGUUUUGCAUACAUUGAUCAAUUUCUGGCUCUUUUCCUUUGAAUACAUGGUUCUCUUGAUACUAAAUACUCAGGUACUUUCUGCAUAUUCUGUGAUUCUUAUUAGAUAAGUUAUAUAUCAACAGUUAUGUUAGUUUCCAUCAAGGCCUCUGUAAACAUAAAGUUGGUAUUCUGGUUAGGAGAAGUUAAUGUUUAUGAGUUUUGUGGAGUAUGAUUCUGCACAUGCAAAGUUGGUUUGUUUCAAUCUGUGCAUUUUCAUGUUUACAUAAUAAUGGUGAUUCCAUUUUGGUUAUUUAGAUGUUCUUUUGGUCUGUUUUCAUGUUUCUAUCCAACUUAUGUGUUUAGUGUGGACUUAGAUUGAUUUAAGAGUUUAUUGCUGUCUUGUUGCUCACGUUUUAUAUAAUAAAAUUGUUAUAUUUUGGUUAUUUAGAUGUUCUUUUGGUCUGUUUUCAUGUUUCUAUCCAACUUAUGUGUUUAGUGUGGACUUAGAUUGAUUUAAGAGUUUAUUGCUGUCUUGUUGCUCACGUUUUAUAUUGCUGAAUUCCUCUAUUCAUUUUCUUUCAGUUAUGUGAAGAAAUUGGCUGUGCUUUGACUGCUUUCUUAUCCAUUUGUUUAUUAUUUUUUAUUGUUUGAAUUGGAAUUGUCCUGGGGUAGUUUUGCAUUUAUUUACCUGGUACUGAAUGUUAAAAACUGCAUUUACUGUUCUGCAUCCUGGAAAGGGACCUUUUGAGUUUUGAGCUUACUGGGCUGUUGUUUGGUUUUUCAAUCUCUACAGUAAAACCAGGUUUAGAUGAAUUUAUAGUUUUAUUGACAUUAUGUUCUAUUUCACCAUUCUUGAAAUUAUGUGAAGAUUCUUUCUAAUUUUCUCCUCGGCUGUCUCUAGAGUCUAGCCUAAUAUUGAUUUUUCCUUUUCAUGCAUUUUGAAUCAAAUAAAAGAAUUUUAGCAUGCAAGAAAAAGACACUUUACUUGCUUGCGAGAGUAAUUUUUCAUGGUCUUUUGGGAACCUACACAUUGGGUUGUUAACCUGUUCAUGUCUAGUUCUGUGUGAAUCAUUUUAUCCUCACAUGUUUCCUGUUGGAUUCUUUUUAGUUUCAUACCCUCCAUACUACCAAAAAGGAAGUGCUCUGUGAGACAAAGUCAAAAGUUUUAAGAAUUUUUUUCAUUAUAAAGUUUUUGUUCACCAAACCUAGAACUUAAUAAAAAUGAUGGUUGUGAAAUUUUAUAAAUAAUGUUCCUGAAAUGUUGGUAAUGAACCAAAAAAGAAGAGAAUUGCCUGCCAUGCUGAAAAUUCUUGUUGAGAGUCAAGAGAACAAGAGGUGGCUGUUGUCCUUAAACGAAAUUGUUAGUAUUGGAGUUUUUUCUUUUGCUUUCUAUCUUUAGAAUAUUGAUAUUAUUUCCUAUGAUGCUCUGAUUCAUGUGUGAGUGGGAAUGAGCAUGCUAGUAUUUGCUUGUACUUAUUCUGAAACCUGUUUUCAGAUGUAGGAUAAUGUGUUCGAUUUGGGCACUUUAGGAAAGUCAAGGUUUAAAGAAACAGCUGACUGGAUUUUCUAAUUGUGUUAUGUGCCUUGUAUUUACAAUUUUUUUGCAGAGAUGGAAGUCAUUUGUAUGCUCAUAAAAGAUUUUGUAUUUUUUUGCAGAAAUGGUUUGAAAAGAUGUGCAGUAUUGCCAGAUUUUGCUGAGGGGUACAGCUUCAUUUACUGCUUCCUGCUCCUCCUGCAAGUAUUGGUUCAACUGAAGCUGCCAUUUAAUCUUCGAAUUAAAAUUUGGUACUGAUAUAGAUAAAGUUUUUAUAUUUUCUUAAACUGAAAUAUAUUUGGUGCUACUCUUAUAAUCUUACAUCUGUUCUAGGUACUAUCGAGCACCUGAAAUAAUAUUUGGUGCAACUAAAUACACCACAGCCAUUGACAUUUGUUCUAGGUACGUACAGGCCGUUUAGUUGCUAAAUUUUUUUCCUUAUUUCUAUGCAUUUUCACUUUAAAUUACUUAACAAAUAUUGACUUUUUGGACUCCAGCCUCUGUUUGUUGGUGAGAGUGGAGUAGACCAGGUACGUUUUAUUAAGGUACGUUUUAAAUAUUUUAAAGAUUCAAAGUAUAUAUAUAGGUUGGAAACCUGAUCUUAUAGUAUUAAUUAUUUGAAGUAUGAAUAAGUAUGAAUUAAUUUUAUUACCAUAUAUGUAGCUUACUUGUCCAUUAUAAUUACAACAAUAGUUGACCUUCUCUCCAACCUUAUUUUAAAUAUUUUAAAGAUUCAAAGUAUAUAGGCUGGAAACCUGACGGGUUGCCUUAUAUCGAGUUGCAAGAUAUAAUGGAUCCUCCCUAGGUGUAACAACGCCACGUAUGAUGAAUCUUAAAAAAUUCAAAAAGAAUUGAAAAAAGUUCUAUCGCUAUUGAAUAUUUAUAUAACUUUAAUUUAUUUCCAGUUUACUUAUAAAAAUUAAACUACGAUUCUUUCUUGAUAUUAUUAUAUUCAAAUUACUAUUUUGUUAUAUUAAACAUGUAUGAUUUUAAUAUUUAUUAUUUUUAAAUGUCUUUAAAAUUUAUAACUAAUUUUUAUCAAAAUAGUAUUAUUAAUUAUUAUUUGAAGUAUGAAUAAGUUUUUAUAUUUUGGUUCAACUUAAGUAUUAUUUGAUUCAACUUAAGUAUGAAUUAAUUUUAUUACCAUAUAUGUAGCUUGCUUGUCCAUUCCUUAUUUUAAAUAUUUUAAAGAUUCAAAGUAUAUAGGCUGGAAACCUGACGGGUUGCCUUAUAUCGAGCUGCAAGAUAUAAUGGAUCCUCCGUAGGUGUAACAACGCCACGUAUGAUGAAUCUUAAAAAAUUCAAAAAGAAUUGAAAAAAGUUCUAUCGCUAUUGAAUAUUUAUAUAACCUUAAUUUAUUUCUAGUUUACUUAUAAAAAUUAAACUACGAUUCUUUCUUGAUAUUAUUAUAUUCAAAUUACUAUUUUGUUAUAUUAAACAUGUAUGAUUUUAAUAUUUAUUAUUUUUAAAUGUCUUUAAAAUUUAUAACUAGUUUUUAUCAAAAUAGUAUUAUUAAUUAUUAUUUGAAGUAUGAAUAAGUUUUUAUAUUUUGGUUCAACUUAAGUAUUAUUUGAUUCAACUUAAGUAUGAAUUAAUUUUAUUACCAUAUAUGUAGCUUGCUUGUCCAUUCCUUAUUUUAAAUAUUUUAAAGAUUCAAAGUAUAUAGGCUGGAAACCUGACGGGUUGCCUUAUAUCGAGCUGCAAGAUAUAAUAGAUCCUCCCUAGGUGUAACAACGCCACGUAUGAUGAAUCUUAAAAAAUUCAAAAAGAAUUGAAAAAAGUUCUAUCGCUAUUGAAUAUUUAUAUAACCUUAAUUUAUUUCCAGUUUACUUAUAAAAAUUAAACUACGAUUCUUUCUUGAUAUUAUUAUAUUCAAAUUACUAUUUUGUUAUAUUAAACAUGUUUGAUUUUAAUAUUGCUAUUAUUUUUAAAUGUCUUUAAAAUUUUGUUAUAUUAAUAAGAUUUCCAAAAAAGUUUUAUGAAGCUUAUAAAUAAUUCUAUUGACCUUAAAAAAGAAUUAAAAAUUUCAACGACUGAAUGGCCAAUUAUAAAUUAUUUUAUCAACAUAACAUUAUUGAUCAUUGUUUAAAUAUAUUAUAACUAAUUUUUGUCAAAAUAGUAUUAAUAUUGAUCAUUACUUAAAUAAAUUACAUAACUCACAUAACGUACAUAACAACUUACAUAACUUAACUAAUACAUGUAGUUUAAUCUAAUAAUUUCCUUAAAAGCAUAUAGUUUAAAAGUUCAAAUUUCAUAACUUACAUAAUCUACAUAACUUACAUAAAACAUAAAUAUAUAUCAUAUCAAGACUUACAUAAUAAACAACUUACCCGUGAAACUUAUUGCCAACUUUAGACUUCAACAACUAUGAAAUGGAUAGGACUUGGAUGAAUUUCUCAAGGGCAAGCAACGAGUAUCAAAAUGGAGUGCAAUCUUUUUUAGAUUUUGCAUUUCACAAUUCAAGCCAAGAGAAUAUGAUUCUUUGCCCGUGUAAGAAGUGUGGCAAUAUCUAUUGGCAUUAUCGUGAAGUUGUCUACGAACAUCUAAUUGUUGAUGGCUUCAUUCGGGGGUAUAAAAAAUGGAAUUUCCAUGGAGAGUACAACUAGUGGAGCCUCUUCGACGAUUAAUCCGGGUUAUCCUUAUAGUGGUUACCAUCAGUAUGUUAGAGAAGAUGACAUGGAAGGUAUGAUGCGGGACGCAUUUAAUAUGCGGAGUGAAAGUUUCCAAUCAUUUCCACCAAACUAUGUUGCAUCUGAUGAUUAUAAUAUCGGUGGGAAUACUUUUAUGGAAACGCGAAGAAGUGUACCGGAUGAACAACCGAAUGAAGAAGCGGCGAAGUUCUACACGUUACUUGGUGAAAUGAAUGAAGAACUUUAUGAGGGAUCAAAAUUUUCGAAAAUGUCAUUCUAUAUUCGCCUUUUCCACUUAAAAUGUUUGGGAGGGUGGACCGAAAACUCUUUGACAAUGCUGUUAGAGCUUUUGAGAGAAAUGUUCCCAUUUGCAAAAAUCCCUCAAUAAUGUAAAGACAUGAAGAAAGUAAUAAAAGAUUUGGGCCUUGGGUACAACAAAAUUCAUAGUUGCCCAAAUGAUUGCAUGCUGUAUUGGGGUGAUCGGAGAAAUCAACAGUCUUGUCAUGUUUGCGGUAAAUCUCGUUGGAUGAAUAGAGAUGCAGAAGAUGUUAAUGAGGAUGAAUAUGGGCCACAGUCAAGAAGGAAGCCGAACAAGAUUUUGCGAUAUUUCCCGCUAAUCCCAAGGCUUCAAAGGCUAUUCAUGUCGUCAAAGACAGUUGAAUUUAUGACGUGGCAUCAUGAUCAACGAACGGAUGAUGGAUUAUUAAGGCAUCCUGCAGAUUCUUUUGCAUGGAAAUCAUUUGACAAUAAAUUUCCAAGCUUUGCAAGUGAUCCUCGGAGUGUAAGGCUCGGGUUAGCAUCUGAUGGAUUUAAUCCUUUUAAAAUCAUGAGCACCUCGUACAGUACUUGGCCUGUGGUCAUUGUUCCUUAUAAUUUGCCUCCAUGGCUCUGCAUGAAGCAAUCUUCUUUGAUAUUAUCUAUGAUUAUCCCCGGAGAGAAAGGCCCCGGAAAUGAUAUUGACAUAUAUCUGCAGCCACUUAUUGAAGAGUUAAAACAAUUAUGGGCGAGUUUUGAGACGUAUGAUGUAUUGAGAAAGGAGAACUUUUACCUACGUGCUGCUUUGAUGUGGACAAUUAAUGAUUUCCAGGCAUAUGCGAAUUUAUCGGGUUAGAGUACCAAAGGAUGUUAUGCUUGUCCUUGUUGUGCUGCUCAAACGUGUUCACAGUGGUUAUAUAAUAGGAAGAAGUUCUGCUAUAUGGGGCAUCGUCGGUGGUUAGAUGAAAAUCAUAGAUAUAGAUUUCAGAAGGCUUUAUUUGACGGUACUGAAGAGUUGAAAAAAGCUCCUGAGCAGACCAUUGGAUCUGAAAUCUUAUUCAUGUUAAAAGAUAUGGAUUUCAGUUACGGGAAACUGAAUCAACCAUCUAAUAGGCAAACAAAUAGACGAUCGAGGGAUGAAUCUGAUGAUGAAUCUGACGAGGAGGAUGACCCUAAUGAGGCGGACUUGUGGAAGAAAAGAAGUAUUUUUUUUGAGUUGCCUUAUUGGGAGCAUCACAUAUUACGCCACAAUCUUGAUGUGAUGCAUAUUGAGAAGAAUGUCUGCGAGAACAUCAUCCGGACAAUUUUGAACGUCGAUGGUAAAUCAAAAGAUAAUCUUCAAAGUCGACUUGAUUUAGUUCACAUGGGAAUUAGGCGUGAUCUUCAUCCCCAAGUACUUCCUAAUGGAAAAUAUUGGUUGCCGCCUACAAUUUUUGCAAUGUCAAAGGAAGAGAGAGAAAUGUUCUGCACGGUGUUGAAGGAUAUAAAGGUUCUGGAUGCGUAUUCAUCAAAUAUAUCUCGAUGUGUAAGUCUUAAAGAUCGAAGACUAUAUUCAUUAAAAUCACAUGACUAUCACAUCUUGAUGCAAGAUCUACUUCCAGUUGCUUUACGGUGCUGUAUGUCAAAGAAGGUAACGUCCUGUAUAAUUGAGCUGUCCAAUAUAAUGAAAGCAAUUUGUGGCAAAGUUCUGAAUGUUGAAGAACUUGAAAAAGUACAAAAUCGAGCCGCUUUGACAUUAUGCAAUUUGGAGAAGAUCUUUCCACCUUCCUUCUUCACUAUUAUGGUGCACCUUGUCAUUCAUCUCCCUCGUGAAGCAAUAAUUGGUGGGCCGGUUUUCUAUCGUUGGAUGUAUCCAAUUGAAAGGUGCUAAUUUAUUUCAAAGGCAUUCACCUUUAUACCUAUAGUUACAAGUUUUGAUAAUAUUGUAUAUGGUGUUUAGGUUCCUAAGCAAAUUGAAGUCUUAUUGCCGUAACAAGCGUUAUCCGGAAGGAUCAAUUGCUGAAGGCUACUUGGCAGAGGAGUGUAUGACAUUCUAUUCUAGAUAUUUAGAUGUUGAAACAAGAUUGAAUAGACCAAGUAGAAAUGCCGGACUCAAUGAUCCUAACUUGGACAAAACUUAUUUAUUUCAAAGUUAUGGAGAACCAAUCGGCAAAGUUGAAAUUGUAGAAUUAGAUGACCGAUCUUGGAUACAAGCACAUAGAUAUGUUCUUUUCCACCACGAUGCACUUGAACAAUUACGCAAGUAAGUUCUAGAAUAUGAUAAAUAUUCUUCUUUUUUUGAUUUGUUUAUUUUUUAACGAAUUAAACAUGUGUUUAACAUAGUGAGUACAAACAAAUCUUAAGAUCUCGUCCACACUCACGAAGAUUACAACAUCGCGAGAUUAAUAGGUUAUUCGCAGAAUCUUUUCAUGAAUGGUUAAGCCAAACGGUAUGCAACUCAACAUUUUGUUGACAAAUAAUAAUGUUUUCUCAUAACAUUUAUAAUUACUCAAUUUACUUUCGAUUCAAUAGGUUUGCAGUGGGAAUAUCAUUAAUGACGAAGUUAAAUGGCUUUCCCAAGGUCCGAAUCUAGUAGUAAAAAGAUAUAGUGGCUUCAUCAUGAAUGGAUUCAGAUUUCAUACCAAAUAUCGCAAGAGAUUGAGGAGAACUCAGAAUUGUGGAGUAGUUGUUAAUUCUUUAAUUACAAGUUACGCUAGUGCUAGGGACAGUAAUCCUGUCGAGGGAAAUGUGGAGUAUUAUGGACUUCUAACCGACAUUAUUGAGUUGGAUUAUUAUGGAAAAUGGAAAGUUGUCUUAUUUCGAUGUGAUUGGGCUGAUGCUAAUACUGCUCGCGGAAUAAAAAUGAUCAGUUUGGUUUUACAAUGGUGAAUUUCUCUCGAUUAAUUCACACUGGAGAACAUUUGAUAGACGAGCCGUAUGUAUUUUCUUCUCAAGUUAAACAAGUUUUUUACUCGAAAGAUCCAAUUGAUGAGGGUUGGUACGUUGUACUCCGAAACACCCCUAGAGACUUUGUUGACAUGGGGAAUGGAAGUAGAGAUGACAUCGGUGAAAGAUCAGAAACUUUGCCUUUUCCAGAACAAGACUUAGAUGAAAAUAUCCCUAGUACUAGUACACAAUUUCAAUGGGUUCGUCAGGAUGUAGACGAAGAUAUUUACGAUUUAUGAUGUAGUAAGAUUUUAUGAUUUUUUAUUUAUAUGUAUUGUUACAAUAUUAACAUUGGUCAUGUUAUCUAAUUUAACUAUUUUAUAUUUACUAUUAUUGUUAUUUCUUACUAAAAUUUUAUCUAUUUUAUGUGUCGCAGGAAAAAUGCCUAGAAGAAGAUUAAGAGAUCUUAGUAUUGUACAGAAUACUAACAAUUCGGAAGAAGUAAGUACUGAACAGCAGACAGUUGUUGGAUCUUCAAGCGUGCCGGAGACACUUGACGAGUCUGUGGAAAUUCAAAGUAAUGUUAUGUUCUAUUUUACAAAUUGUAUUAAAUUUUAUUACUGAUUUAUUUUUAAAUUUCAAUAUAGUAAUAAUUUACCAUUUUUCAGCUGAAAAUGGUGGGACGCGCAGAGGUCGAGGACGUACGCUCCUAACAGAUUUAUAUAACUUAAAUUCUGUCGAGCGUGUCAAAGUAACUAGAAACAGCCAUGGUCAGCCUGUUGGACAAGAAGCUCGACUUUUAGCAGGCUAUUUGGGCAUUAUAGCACGAAAUGCCAAUAUGUUGCCCAUGAACUACGAAUCAUGGCAUAACAUGCCUGAUAGCAAUAAAAAUCAAGCUCUCUCUAAUAUUAAGGUAACAAAACGUUAAUGUAACUAUUAUACUUUUGUUUAAGUUUCAUUUAUAUUUACUUCCUAAACUUGUGUUUUUUAGGAUAGGUUUGCUUUAGAGGUCUCUGAUGCCUAUAUCAAGAAGGCAUUGGGUAAAAAAUGGAGAGACAAUAAAAGCAUUUUGAAAAAAGAAUAUUUUAAAAAACCCAUAAGCCUCGAAGAAAAAUUGUAAAAUGUCCCACAGGGAAUGCUGAGGUACCAAUGGGAAGAUGCGGUUCAAUUUUGGAAUUCGAAGAAAGGAGAGGUAUUAUGUACUUGCAAACUCUUAGAAAUUUUUCGGUUUAUAGUAUUUACUAUAUACGUAAUAAUAAUUUCAUUAUGUAGGACCGUGAGCGAGUUGGAACAAGCAGCAGGCAAAAACAAAAAUUUACGCACACGGCAGGGUCGAAAAGUUUUGCUUGUGUAGCUCAGGCUAAGGUACUAUGGAUUUAUUAAAUCUAUCAAGUAUUAAUAACUUUUUACUAUUAAAUAAUAUUUUUACUACUAUAUUGUAGGAAGCCUCGUCUGGUCAAAAAGUUGGACGCCUUCAACUUUUUGACAUUACACACAGGAAAAAAGAUGGAACUCCGAUGUCAUCUGAGGCUGCAGAAAUUAUGAUAUAUUUAGCAAAUAAAAAUUGAUUCAUUAUAAAUAUUUAUAAUAUUUAAUUAUAAUGUUUUAAUUCGUCGUUUUUAUUAGUGUAAUUUAAAUAAUGUUAUGUUGUAUUCUUUUUUAUUGUAUAUUUCAUUUCUAACUCUUUAACUGAUUUAUUAGGAGAAACUUAAAGAUAAGAAGGCAGAGUAUGAAGCGACUGCUUUGACUGAUAGUUUUGUUAAUUUUGAGGGUAUUGAUAACAGAAUUAUUAAUGAAGUUUUGGGUCCUGAAAGGUAUGGUCGGGUUAGAUUUCAAGGAUCUGGUGUUAACCCGACCCAAUAUUUUGGAUCCACCUCGCACCAAUACAUGCCUUCCGGCAGUCAAAGACAAGCUGAAGUUCAGAGGUUAAAAGAUCAAAUAGUUCAGAUACAAGCUAGCACAGAUGAGAAAAUUUCUCAACUUAGAGCAGAGGCAGCAGCGAGGGAGGCAGAGGUAGCAGCGAAGGAGGUGGAGCAGAAUAGGAAAUACAAUGAACUCCAGCAGCAGCUUCAGUCUAUGAUGACUAUGUUCCACCAAUUUCAAAAUCCGCCAUCAUAGACAUGUUUUCUUGUAACUUUUAACAUUAUUUUAAGAAUAUUUUGGAUAUUCAUUUCCAAUUUAUAUAAUAUAUUUUUCGUAUAAUUUUGUAUUAUUUAAAUUUACGUGUUUUGGUUGGGUUGGAUUUUAUGGUAGAUUUGUUGUUUUUUAUUGAAUUUCUUGCAGGAGGGUUGGAUAUAGGUGUAAAAAUACAUAUUGCAAAACUGAGCAAAUUAGCGGCGUUUUUUAUAAAAGCGCCGCUAAAGUUCUUGGUCUUUAGCGGCAUUUUUUAAAAAAGCACCGCUAAAGGUCCUAGUCUUUGGCGACGCUUUUAUAAAAAACGUCGCUAUAGAACUGUACUUUUAGCGGCGCUUUUAUAAAAAACGUCGCUAUAGGUCCUGGUCUUUGGCGGCGUUUUUUUAAGAGCGCCGCUAAAGGUCAUGGUCUUUAGCGGCGUUUUUAUAAAAAAACGUCGCUAAAGAUCGUGGUCUUUAGAGGCAUUUUUUUCUAAAAAACGCCGUGAACUUUUGUGGCGCUGCAUAUAGCGACGUUUUUUGCGGCGCUUUAGCGGCGCUUAGAAACGCUGCUAAAGGCAAAAAAAACGCCGCUAAAAGUCUGUUUUCCUGUAGUGGAAAUGUGUCCCCCUAAACCGAACCUGGUCCAUAUGAGCCUAUAAUGGGUGAGGAUCGAAAAAUGUGCUGGUUCAAGGACCCUCGCUUUAGAACUGAAACACAUAUAGUGAACUUUAAGUGCUUACCUUAGGGAGUACAAUGAUAGCCUUUAGUAAGCUACCCUUAUAAGUCCUUGUUUAUUAUACCUUUUAUAUAUGAUACUGACCUAUUUUAUUUUGCUAUCAUUGCAUGUCACUCAACAUUUAAAGGUGUCGAUUCACGGUUUGAUUUCUAGAUUAGAAAGUUUUGUAAUAAGGAACGAAUAUCUUGAUAAAGUGGAGGACAAUGCUUCUGUCUGUGCGUGGUCAGAGAAAACCUAGUUAGAGAAAGGAGAUAGUGUCACUGAAGGGUGUACGUCAGAGUUGUGGGACUUCACCCAUAUCAGUUCGACACAGAAUAAGUUUCAGGAGUUGAAGGACAUUUGGGCCCAAUGGGAUGACGAGGCUAAGUAGCUGUUCUACCAGAAUUAUGGAGAUCUUCCCUAUUUGCUAGACAUCAAGGUGGAUAAGCAUCUGUUUCGAGCUAUGGUAUAGUUUUGGAACCCUGCUUAUAAUUGUUUUACAUUUGGAGAGGUAGACUUAGUACCUACUUUGGAGGAGUAUACGACCUUGCUUCGCUGUCCAAAAAUUCAAGGUAACAACGCUUAUGUUAGGGUUGCUAAUCUCCCAACCUUUGUGAAGAAAUUAAUGAUGAUUACAGGGGUGAGAACAGUGGGCCACAGAUCGAAUCCAAGAAAAGGGUGAUAGUAAAUGCAUUCCAUGGGCACGUUUGAGGGAUUUGAUAUUGGCACACCCAGAUGUGAAGAAGAGGGUUGAUGUCUUGGCCUUAAGUAUUUAUGGUUUGGUGAUUUCCCCAAAGCUGUGGGGCACAUAUAUGAAGCAGUUGUGGAUUUAUUUGAUCGACUUAGUAAACAGAACACACCUGUGCCUGCAAUCCUAGCCGAGGCGUUUAGAUCCUUGAGUGCAUGUCGAAGAGCUGGUGAAGGUAGAUUCAUUGGAUAUGCACAAUUAUUGUUAGUAUGGUUCCACAGUCAGUUUUAGAAGGUUGAUAAGGGUCCUUGCCGAGUGUUUUUUGAGGAUUAUUCUCCCUUAAGGGAAGCAGCAGCUAUGCCUAGGAGGGACGACAUUACAGAGGAAAGAUGGAUGGAAAUACUUCAGAAUCUCCAAGAGGAAGAUGUAAUGUGGAAAGCCCCUUGGAUGGCUCCUAAUGAAGUCCUUUAUCGUUGCAGAAGUUUUAAUUGGGUACCUCUUCCUGGAAUUUGGGGAGUUGUUGGUUAUGCACCAUUACUCGUCUUAAGGCAAUACAAAGCGGGGCAGUUUAUACCUGCAACACAAGGGUUAGCUCAGAGUGAUUUCUCAUAUAAAAGGGAUCAUUAUAAGAAAAAGAUGCGAGAGAUUUUCGAGGCUUGGAAGAAGAUUUGCUGUGUGAAGAUUCUGACUGAAGGUCCGACGAUGACUCUUGAGUACAAAGGGUGGUUUAGCAAGAGGAUCAAUGAUAACAUCCCUAGGCCAAGUUUGGGGGCUGCUCAAUCGAUGAAGGAGAGUUUACGAGUAAUUCCAUCAGAGUUAGAAGUCAUAAAGUAAGAGUUCGAAAGGAAGAAUUUGGAGCUUGGGAAAAAGAUAGAGAGGCUUGAGGAGGAGAAGAUAUAUCUAAGCUUAGACGUCGACGUUUAGAAAAUCGAGGUCGAAAAAGUGAGGAAAGAAAAGAAGAAGAUUGAAGAAGACCGAGAUGACUUGAAAACGUAAUAUAAGAGGAUACAACUAUCAAUGAAGAGAGCUGGAUUGGGGAAGUCUCCAGAACAGUGGCGGCAAGAGGUUCAAGAAGAAAGAGCCAAAGCCGCGUAUUGGGAGAAGAAGUUUCAAGAGAUGUAGGCGCAAAAUCAGACCUUAGAGAAAGAGAAUCAAGGAUUAAAAGCUAAGGUGAUUGAGCUUGGACGAUCUCUUCAUCAUCACCGAAGUCGUAACUCUGCGGUCGAAUUAAAGGCAAGUCUGAACAAGAUCGAGGAAAUGAAGCAUAAUAUUAGAGGGUUGGAAGCAGCAUUGCAGAACUGUGAACUUCAGAUUGAGCAGCUCAAGGCAAGAGAAGGACAUUGGAAGGGAGAGCUUCACCAUUUCCAGGAUCAAGUCAGAGAUAGGGACUGUCGAAACCAUUCUUUUGAAAACGGGGAUCGACUUUGUUUGAAAGUGAAAAUUAAAACGGGAGUCGCCAUCGAUCUUUAUUGGGUGUGAUCGGAUCACCCUUGUUUUAAUAAAACAUUUUAGUUUACUAAAACAGGGCCUUUGGUCUACGAAACUUGAGAGGAUGAGUUCGGGAGUCGGUUACGUGCGAGGAAGGAUUAGCACCCUCGACACGCCCAAAAAAAAUUGGUACCGAAUUGAUUAGUUAUUGUCUUAAUGUCGAAAAUUAAAAAUCGGGAAGGGACUUGAAAUACGAUAUUUUCUAUUAAUACUGAUUUUAAAAUUCUUGAAUUAGCUUAAAUCGAUUUGUUUAAAGAUUUCCUUAUCUCGAGAUGUCGGAGUAUCACAUCCCGUAAGUUAGGACGUAAUACCAUGAAUUCCCGAGCACAAGGUCGUCUUUUAAUUUAAAUUGGAAAUCCGUGUAUUUCAAAAUUCAAAAGGAUAUUUAGCUAUUUAAAACCAACGAGAGAACCGAAACCCCGUAAGUUAGGGCACAAUUCUUCGAUGUUCCAAAAUGCGAAACAUUGCCUUAUUUAUUGAAAUUAAUUAAAACAUGAGAAAAAAUAUUCCUAAAGUGAGAAAUUAAAAUAGAUAAACGACGCAAAAAAUGAUAUCAUUAAUGAAAAAUAUUAACAUGGAAUACUAGAAUAUUAGAAUAACAAUAACAAUGAUAUUUACAAAAAAAAGAAAAUAAAAACAAAUCAUGUACUAAUAAUAAAAUAGGAAAAAUGAUAUAUUUGGUAAUAAUAAUAUAAAAUAAUAAUAUGUACAUAAAGAUACAUAUAUAUAUGUGCAUAUAAUAAAAGUAUGUAAUAAUAAUAAUAUCUACAAUAAAAGAAAAUAUUAGGAAACGUACAUAAAAAAUAUAUACAUAAAAAAUUUACAACAAUAAUAUAAAAUAAUGAUAUGUACAAAAAUAUAUAUAUAUAUGUACAUAAAAUAUACACUAAUGUAAUAAUAAUUAUAAUAAUACUAGCAAUAGUAAUAAUUAGUAAUAAUAAUAUAUACACAAUAUGGUAUUUAAAAAAUAUAUAUAUAUGUAUAUACAAUAAUAUUUAAGAAUAUAUACAUAAGAUGAUAUAAAAUACAUACAUGGAAUAGUAUAAGAAAUAUAUAACUAAUUGCAUUAAAAAAAUAUAUACAUAAUAUAUAUAAUACAUAUAAUAUAUAUAUAUACGUAUUAGAAAUGAUAAAAAUUAUUAACACACUACAUAAGUAAAUAAAAUAUAAUAAUAAUACUAAAAUAAUUAAUUUAAAUAGUAAAAUAACUAAAAAGGAUUAAAUUGAACUAAAAACAAAAUAUUUGGGGCAAAAUUGAAAUAAAAAUAAAAGGAAAGGACUAUAUUGAACACGCGUGGAAACAGUGGGGGCCAAAGCAGAAAAUAUUCCUUCCCAUCAAAAGUUAGCACAUCAGCGGGGACUAAAUUGAAAAUCGCGAUAAAUUUCGGGGCCAAAUUAAAAAAACGAAUAAUGACUUAAUUGCAAAGCAAUAAAGAGCGGAAGGGCUAAAAGCGAAUUAGCCCUUCCUUUAAAAAAACACGCGGAUCCUAGGCGGGUCGGGUCGAAUUGGUCCAAGUCAAAACGACGUCGUUUUGGGGGCUAUAAAAAGCCCUUUUUCUUCAAAAAAAUUAAUUCUUGCACUUGAAAAGGAAAAAAAAGAGAGAGGGAGAGGGGUGAGGUGAUUUCUGGCCACAAGACCGGUCCCCAUCCAGUCUCCGGACCGCCGUCAGCCACCGCCGGCCACCGUGGACGGUGGCCGAAAAAGGUAAAAAAAAAUUGUUUUUUUUAAAUAAUAUAUAUAUGUAUAUGUAUAUAAAAAGAAAGAAAGAAAAAAAAAGAUGCAAACCUUUUUAUUAAUUUUCUUUUGUAUUCAAAAUUUGGAGGGAUUUUUGUGUUUGUCUUUUUUUUCAAUCUUCUAAAACCCCCCCUUACAUGAUUUUUGAAUGGCUUUUUAUAGCCAUCUUUUACAUCAUUUUCUAUUAUUUCUUUUUCUAUUUCUUUUGUAGGUGAUAGUGGCAGACAAUCGAUAUCAAAAAUGGGAGGAAAAUGGGGCAAGUGGGAAAGUGGCUAGGUGGCUAGGGUUUCUUCCUUUCUCUUUUUGGUGGAAACUGUUUAGUACUAGUGGGCUAGGUUUAGGGUUUGUGAAUUGGGUAUGUAAUGGACCAUUGGGUUUGGGCUGUUUAACUAUUGGGUUAUUUGUAAAUGGACUGGGCCAAAAUUGGCCUAUAACAGGGAGUAUCUCAUGGGAGAAGCCAUAGUCCAGAUUCGAGAGGUUGCUGAUCAUUUCCAAGACCUGGCAACGCAAGCUAAUGUAUUGAGUGCAAAGUAUGAGUCAGUGUUAGAUAGAGGUCGAGAGUUGGCUUUGUUAUUGGAUAGGGUUAAAACUCUGGGCCUAAGGGCGAAAGCGUAUUUGUAAUUCGUUUUGUGUAAAGAUUUUUGUUUCUUAAAUAACAUUUUCUAAAAGAAACUGAAUCAGAAUCGAUAUCUUUUGCAUUCAUGCAUUUGCAUCUCAUCGCAUCAUAUGCAUUCCAAUUUAUAGAAGGACCCUAAUUAGUUAAAAUUAUAGAGAGAGAGAGAAAGAGAGAGAAAGAGAGUGAGAGAAAAAGAAAACCUGGAAGCAACACAUCCUUACGAUACACGCACUAAGACAAAGAAUAUGGAUCAAAGACUUGAGCAGAUCCAGAAAGAAAUGCAAGAGCAAUUGCAGGAACAAUUGGCAAAAAUCCAACAAGAGAUGAAUGAUCAAAUGUUGGAGGCUCAAAGGAAUAUGAUGGCUAAAAUAGCCCAGCUGCUGAAGGGGGCAAAGGAUAAAGGAAAGGCUCCUAUAACUGAAGAAGAUAAUGAGGAUCAUCCUCCGGGUUUUACUCCAACCCAUGUGCAAACUCAACCUGAGGCAUAUCCCCGAAGGCCGUCCAUUACAAUAAGGCCUCAACAUGGGCAAGUUGAUGCUAGAAUACCCAUGAACUUCCAAACUGGUGCGGGAUCCAACCCGGGAGAUAACCCUACCAAUCCAGUCAUCCCUGAUUUAGAUGUAGCUGAAAGGGAGGAGAUGAGACUCGAAUCAUCAAGGUAAUUAGAGGAAUGUUACAGAUGGUUAGAGGAGAAAUUUAAGGCAUUGGAAAACGCUAAUAAUCGUCAGGGAAUUGAUGCCAAAGACUUGAGUUUGAUCCCAGAUUUGGUGCUUCCUCAUAAGUUCAAGAUGCCGGAAUUUGAAAAGUACAAUGGGACCACUUGCCCUGAGGCCCAUAUCACCAUGUUCUGUAGGCGAAUGACUGGCUAUGUAAACAAUGAUCAAUUAUUGAUCCAUUAUUUUCAGGAUAGUUUGGUUGGGGCAGCGGCUAGGUGGUACAAUCAAUUAAGUCGCACAAGGAUCGGUUCUUGGAGAGACUUAGCGCAAGCCUUUAUGCAGCAAUAUAAUCAUGUGACUGACAUGACUCCUGAUAGAAUCACUUUGCAGAACAUGGAAAAGAAGCCUAAUGAGAGCUUUAGGCAAUAUGCACAGAGGUGGAGGGAGGUUGUCAUGCAAUUUCAACCACCGCUCUUGGAGAAAGAAACUACCAUAUUGUUCAUUAACACCUUGAAGGCCCCAUUCAUUACUCAUAUGAUUGGAAGUACCACCAAGAGCUUUGCUGAUAUAGUUAUGGCAGGAGAAAUGAUUGAGAACGCCAUAAGGGGAGGCAAGAUAGAUGGGGAAUCUGCUAAAAGAUCGGCCCCAAGAAGGAAAGAUAAUGAGGUGAACAAUACGAAUAAUUAUAAUUCGAAAGCGAUUACGGUUAGUCAGCCCAGAGCAACUAUAGUUGGGCAACAGGAUUCCCAAAAGCAGGGAUCUAGUUCGAGACAAAAUUAUGAAAAGGUCUCAUUUACGCCUAUCCCGGUGACAUAUCGGGAGCUUUAUCAAAGUUUAUUUAAUGCGCAUGCAAUAGCUCCUUUUCGUUUGAAACCAUUGCAACCCCCAUAUCCUAAAUGGUAUGAUACAAACACCAAAUGUGAAUACCAUGCAGGGAUAUUGGGGCAUUCAAUCAAAAAUUGCACUAGUUUUAAAAAAACAGUGGAAAGACUAACCAAGAUGGGGGUCGUAAAAUUUGACGACGCCCCUAGUACAAAGAACCCGUUGCCAAACCAUGGUGAUCAAGGGGUAAACGCAAUUGGGGAAACUGGUAUGAGAAGGAUUAAAGAGGACAUGGCCUAGGUAAAAAUGCCGAUGAAAGUAAUCUGGGAAAAAAAUAGUGAAAGAGGAGAUGAUAAUUUCUGAAGAAGGAAAUAAAGGAACAAGGGACUACUGCGAGUUCCAUGCAGAAGAGGGACACGAAAUUUAGGAAUGCAACGAGUUUAAAGCUUUGGUACAAAGCCUUAUGGAUAAUAAGGAGCUGGAAUUUUAUGAAGUUGGCUCAGAUGAGGGACAUGUAUGCACAUUAAAAGGUAAACCAAAGAAUCAAAGAAUCAACCGGCCAAGGAUCAUUAUUUCUAUACCAAGGAAUAAUGAAGUUGAGACACCAACAGCGCCGAAAGUCAUUAUUCACAAACCCGUUUCCUUUCCUUAUAAGGAUAACAAGAGGGUACCUUGGAAUUAUGACUGCAAUGUGACUAUACCGGAGAGAGAAGAUAUAGCUAGUACUUCUAAGGAGGCUCAAGUUGAAGGAUCCUACACAUGUAGUGGGAAGCAUUAUGAUGCAAAAGCAUCAGAAUUGAGCCUACGAAAGUGAAAGCCUUUGACGUUGAGAAGGAGAAUAAGGCUGAGGUACUUGUUAAUGAGCCAGUGAAGGAAGAAGAAGCUAGAGAGUUUCUAAAAUUCCUGAAACACAGUGAGUACAGUGUGGUUGAGCAAUUUCGCAAACAACCAACUCGUAUAUCAGUAUUAGCUUUGCUUCUGAGUUCAGAGGUACAUCGUGAGGGGUUAAUGAAGGUGCUCAACGAGACUUAUGUUAAUAAUGAUAUAUCCGUCAACAAGUUGGAUCGAUUGGUUAGUAACAUAAGUGCUGACAAUUUCAUUUAUUUUAAUGAUGAUGAAAUCCCACCUAGUGACAUGGGAUCAGCUAAGGCUUUGCACAUUACCACUCGCUACAAAGGAUAUACAUUGCCAAGUGUGCUUAUUGAUAAUGGGUCAGCCUUAAAUGUCAUGCCAUUGUCCACAUUGAACAGAUUACCCAUAGAUAGUUCUCACAUGAAAACAUGCCAUAAUGUAGUGAGAGCAUUCGAUGGCAUGGAGAGAAAGGUUAUGGGAAGAAUUGAUAUUCCUUUGAUGAUUGGGCCAAACACGUAUGAGGUGGAAUUUUUAGUGAUGGACAUCAAGCCCUCUUACAAUUGCCUGUUGUGGAGGCCUUGGAUACAUUCGGCAAGAGCCAUGCGCUCAUCGUUGUACCAGAAAUUGAAGUUAGUAGCGGAUGGAAGGCUAAUCACCAUAAAUGCGUAGGAAGACAUCAUAGCAGCAGUUACCAGUGAAGCACCCUAUGUAGAGGCAAACGAGGAGGCCAUUGAAUGCUCUUUUCAUUCCUUAUAAUUCUUUAAUGCAACAUUUAUUUCAGAGGGGAAUGAGGUGCCGGUGCCCAGGAUAUCCAGAACCACAAGAAUGGGUUUGCAGUUGACAAUGGGGAGAGGAGCCUUGCCAAGAAAAGGAUUGGGAAGAUAUCUUCAAGGAGGGAUCCAAGUUCUAGAACUAAAGGAGAAGAGAGAUUGUUUUGGCUUGGGUUUCAGGCCAGAUCACAAGCAUAGGAAGAAGGAAAUAGUUAAGCGUCAACAAAGAAGAAGGGCGCGUUUAAGUGGAAGAGAAGUAGAGUGGGAAUUGAUGACGUUUCCUCAUAUAUCCCAAACCUUUAUAUUAGGAGGGAUAAUUCACCCUGAGAGAGGAUUGCUCAAAAAAGGAAGUUAUCACAUCAAUGCUGUACAUAAUGAAGAGUCUGAACGAAGAAACCUUGAGGGCAUUCGCCCUUACAAAUCGGGAAGCUCUUUAAACAAUUGGACUGUAGAAGAACUUCCUGUAGUUUUUAAAGAUUUUUCAGAGUAAUUUUCAGAACACUCUUUUUGCUCUAGAGCCUAGGAGUAAUAAGAAUUUCAUUUGUAAAAUGGACUCAUGUUUGGAUAUUUGCAUUUCAAUAAAACACGACUUUUGUCAUCAAUCUGAGUAAAUAUUCCUUUAUACCGAUCAAUAUUCUUUUGACCUUUUUAAGUUCUUUCAAAUUUUUCAUUCCAUACAUAACACAUAAAUAAACAUUCUUAAAAUUCAUUCAUUCUUCGUACAUUCUUUCGUACCCCGCAGGUCCCUAGAUAUCAAUGACAUGAGCACUGAUACUACAAAUCCUGAAUUCUCUUGUGAGCAAGACAUGUGUUUAGAAGAACUUAAGGAUUUUGAAGAAUAUAGGGAUUGUGAUGUGUCUCCAGAUCUGUUGAGAAUGGUGAAACAAGAGGAGAAACAAAUCCUACCCUUUGAGAAAGAGGCAAUAGAGAAUGUAGUCUUGGAGGAAGGAAAAGAAGUGAAAAUAGGGACACACAUUGCUAAGGAAACGAGACAAGGUUUUGUUGAGCUGCUACAUGAAUUCGAAGAUAUCUUUGCAUGGUCAUAUCAGGAUAUGCCGGGGUUUAAUACUGAUAUCGUGGUACAUCGUCUCCCCAUAAGACAGGAAUGCAAGCCAGUCCAACAAAAAUUGCGAAGGAUGAGGCCUGAUAUUGUGCUGAAAAUAAAAGAUGAAGUCAAGAAGCAGUUUGAUGCUGGAUUCCUACAAGAGGUUAAGUACUCAGAAUGGGUCGCUAACAUUGUGCCUAUCCCUAAGAAGGAUGGGAAGGUACGAAUGUAUGUUGAUUACAGAGAUUUGAACAAAGCUAGCCCGAAGGACAACUUUCCUUUACCGCACAUCAACACUUUGGUGGACAAUACAGCGGGAUAUUCGUUUUUUUCCUUUAUGGAUGGCUUCUCAGGUUUCAAUCAGAUAAAGAUGCAUCCUAGGGACAUGGAUAAAACCACCUUCAUAACAUUGUGGGGCACCUUUUGUUACAAGGUUUCAGGGGUAACAUAUCAAAGGGCUAUGGUGACCUUAUUCCACGAUAUGAUGCAUAAGGGAUUGAGGUGUAUGUUGAUGACAUGAUUACUAAAUCUCAAACAGAGAGGGAUCAUAUUGAAGUCUUGAGAAAGUUGUUCCUGAGAUUGAGAAAGUUUCAGUUGAAGCUUAAUUCGGCAAACUGCAUCUUCGGAGCUAGGUCGGGGAAGUUAUUGGGCUUUGUGGUCAGCGAAAAGGGAAUAGAAGUUGACUCAAAGAAGGUCAGAGCCAUACGAGAAUUGCCUCCACCACGUACUCAGAAGGAAGUUCAGGGUUUUCUUGGAAGGCUGAAUUAUAUUGCUCAGUUUAUUUCACAAUUAACUGAGAAAUGUGAUCUUAUAUUUCUCCUCCUUAGAAAACACAACCAAGGUACUUGGGAUGAGGAAUGCCAGAAUGCUUUUGAUAAAGUCAAGCAAUACUUGUCAAACGCUCUAGUAUUAUCUCCGCCCAAUCCAGAUAGACCAUUAAUUCGGUACUUAUCAGUGUUUAGUAAUUCUAUGGGAUGUGUGCUUGGUAACAUGAUGAUUCAGGAAGAAAAGAGAAGGCAAUAUAUUACCUCAGCAAGAAAUUCUCAGAGUGUGAGAUAAUAUAUUUGCCAAUUGAGAAGUUGUGUUGUGCUUUAAUCUGGACGACUCGAAGGUUGAGGCAAUAUAUGCUAUAUCAUACAACUUGGAUAAUUUCGAAACUUGAUCCAUUAAAGUACAUGAUGGAGUCAACAGCCCUAAAUGGAAGAAUGGCAAGGUGGCAAGUACUGCUUUCAGAGUUUGAUAUAGUCUAUGUGAGUCAAAAGGCUAUAAAAGGAAGCGCGAUAGCGGAAUUUCUGGCUAGUAGAGCUUUAAAAGAUUAUGAGCCAUUGAGCUUUGAUUUCCCUAAUGAGGAGUUGAUGUAUGUGGCAACUACUGAAGAAUAUCCAUGGAAACUGAACUUUGACGGUGCAUCUAACGCGGUAGGAAAUGGAAUUGGGGCAGUCUUGGUAUCCCCAAAUGGUGAUCAUUAUCCAUUUACAUGUAAAUUGGAUUUUGACUGUGCGAACAAUAUGGCCGAGUAUGAAGCAUGCAUCAUGGGGAUUCGAGAGGCCAAAGAGCAAAAAAUUAGAACCCUGGAAGUAUAUGGAGACUCUGCGUUGGUAAUUUACCAGCUUAGGGGUGAAUGGGAGACAAGGGACCCCAAAUUGAUUAAUUAUCAAAAGGUAGUUUUGGAGUUACUUGAGGAGUUUGAUAACAUCACCUUCAAUUAUCUCCUACAGGACGAAAAUCAGAUGGCAGAUGCUUUAGCAACACUGGCUUCCAUGAUUAAAGCAAAUAAAAAAGAGAUGUGAGACCAAUUCAGAUGAGUAUUUCUGAGGUCCCAGCUCAUUGUUGUAACAUCGAAGAAGACGAAAAGGAGGACCAUCCUUGGUAUCAAGAUAUGUUAUGGUAUGUGAGAAAUCGUGAAUAUCCUGAGCAAGCAACUGAGAAUGACAAAAGAACCUUGAGAAGGUUAGCCUGGGAGUAUGUACUAGAUGGGGACGUCCUUUAUAAAAGAAGGAAAGAUCAGGUGCUUUUGAGAUGUCUCGACGCUAUGGAAGCCAAACAAAUCUUGGAAGAAGUACAUGAAGGUGUUUGUGGGACACAUGCUAAUGGCUUUACAAUAGCAAGGCAAAUCAUAAGGUUUGGAUAUUAUUGGUCUACUAUGGAGGGAGAUUGUAUCAGCUAUGCUAAGAAAUGUCAUAAAUGCCAAAUAUAUGGGGACAAAAUUCAUGUAGCACAUUCACCUUUGCAUGUUAUGACUUCUCCAUGGCCCUUUUCCAUGUGGGGCAUAGAUGUCAUUGGGCCAAUAUCACCAAAAGCUUCGAAUGGGCAUCGUUUCAUUUUCAUGGUCAUUGACUACUUCACGAAAUGGGUAGAGGCAGCUUCAUAUGCUAGUGUUACCAAGUCAGCAGUAAGUCGAUUCUUGAAAAAGGAGAUUAUUUGUCGGUAUAAAAUGCCUGAGAGGAUCAUAUCAGACAAUGCAUUGAACUUGAAUAACAGCAUGAUUGCAGAAGUCUGCAGCCAAUUCAAGAUCAAACAUUAUAAUUCAUCUCUAUAUAGCCCAAAAAUGAAUGGGGCAGUGGAAGCUACCAACAAAAAUAUCAAGAAGAUAGUGGGGAAAAUGACUGAGACUUACAGAGAUUGGCAUGAUAAAUUACCAUUUGCACUCUUUGCUUAUCGAACGUCCAUCAGAAUCUCUACUGGGGCAACUCCUUUCUCGUUGGUUUAUGGGACGGAGGCAAUGUUACCUAUUGAAGUGGAAAUACCUUCUCUUCGAAUUUUGUCAGAGAUAAAGCUGGAUGAAGCAGAAUGGAUUCAAGCGCGGUAUGGUCAAUUGAACUUGAUUGAAGAAAAGAGGCUAAGGGCUAUUCAGUAUAGUCAGAUGUAUCAGAAGCGAAUGAUGCGAGCUUAUGACAAGAAAGUUCGUCCAAGAGAAUUUCACGAAGGGGAUCUUUUACUGAAAAAGAUUCUUCCCAUACAGAAGGAUUUUAGAGGAAAAUGGAUGCCAAAUUGGGAAGGGCCGUAUGUUGUGAAGAAGGCUUUCUCUGGUGGUGCAUUGAUUUUGACAGAAAUGGAUGGGAAGAGUUUACCCAAUCCAGUGAAUUCAGACUCAGUCAAGAAGUACUUUGUUUAAAGAGAAGGGAAGUUAAGGUGAAAACCCACAAAGGGCGCUUUGAGACUUCUUUAAAAAAAAGAGAGAAAAAAAUAGAGAGGCUAAGGUGAAAACCCACAAAGGGUGCCUUGAGACUAAAGGGGUUUUUGAGUUGAAAACCCGAAAGGGCAGCUCAAAAUUUGAAAAGCAUGCAAUGACCUUGCUAUACUGGAUUCAACAAGAAGUGGAAUGUGUUACAUACUGGGGCAUCAACAAAGUACUUUGGAUCUUCUAAACACAUGUUAAACUCAAAACAGUCUUCAUGGAGUUUGUAUACAGAAGCCCAAGCUGUGAUAUGUAGGGCAUCUAAUUUUUGUCCUGUUUACUAUCUUUGGAUUCUUUUUCUUCUCAAAGAUAUGUUUUCAGAUCAAUUUCCUUUUGUAUUUUUGAUGAUUUAUUUAACUAUUCUCAAGAUCAAAAUAUUUGUCUUCCAUUAUUUAUAAAGUGUGUUGCAUUGAAAUAAUGAUUGAUGAACUAAAAAUUUUUACAAACGAAGUUUUGCAUAUUACUCUGGAAAUCUCUAGAGAAUACAAGAAACUAAAAUAGAACAAUUGUUUGCAGAAUUCUCAUGAGUGAGGGUUGGAAAUACUCAAAAAACUUUCUUCUUCAGUCUAAAGGAUGAGUGGACAAUUCAAAUGAUUCAAUCCUAGGAAAGGAUCAUCUCCAGCAGGUCGUAACAUUAGAAAAAUGGUAUAAUGGGACCAAUUUGAUUCAAAGCAUAUGAGCAGAGUAUGAUUGAUACUUCGAGUAGAAUAAAGAUGAAACUUUGAUGGAUGAAUGAGUAAAUAUGUCCGAAAUAGGAGUUAUUCUCAUAACAUUUUGCAUCAUAAUAUGUCUAAGUAGGAGCAUUUGACUCAUUUCGAUCAUGGCAUCCUAAUCAUUAGGCAUGAGCACAUACGUAUUCUACAGGUUAUGUCCUUUAGGAGACAAUGUAGAUCACUGAUAGCAGAUUUGGCAUCUUUGUAUUAGACGGGGAGCAGAUCGAAGAUAGCAGAUCUGACAUUCGUGUGUUUACAUCGAAGCAGAUUGAAAAUGACAGAUUUGGCAUCUCCGUACUAGAUGGGGAGCAGAUCAAAUAUAGCAAAUCUGACAUUCGUGUGUUUACAUCGAAGUAGAUCGAAAAUGACAGAUUUGGCGUCUCCGUAUUAGACGGGGAGCAGAUCGAAGAUAGCAGAUUUGACAUUCGUGUGAAGCAGAUUGAAGAUGACAGAUUUGGCGCCUCUGUAUUAGACGGGGAGCAGAUCGAAGAUAGCAGAUCUGACAUUCGUGUGUUUACAUCGAAGCAGAUCGAAAAUGACAGAUUUGGCGUCUCCGUAUUAGACGGGGAGCAGAUCGAAGAUAGUAGAUUUGGCAUUCGUGUGAAGUAGAUCGAAGAUGACAGAUUUGGCGUCUUUAUAUUAGACGGGGAGUAGAUCGAAGAUAGUAGAUCUGACAUUCGUGUGUUUACAUCGAAGCAGAUCGAAAAUGACAGAUUUGGCGUCUCCGUUCGAAGAUGAUAGAUUGGCGUCCCUGUAUUAGACAGAGAGCAGAUCGAAGAUAGAAGAUCUGACAUUCGUGUGUUUACAUCGGAGCAGAUCGAAGAUGACAGAUUUGGCGUCUCUAUAUUAGACAGGGAGUAGAUCGAAGAUAGCAGAUCUAACAUUCGUGUGUUUACAUCGAAGCAGAUCGAAAAUGACAGAUUUGGCGUCUCUGUAUUAGACAGGGGGCAGAUUGAAGAUAGCAGUCUGAUAUUCGUGUGUUUACAUCAAAGCAGAUCGAAAAUGACAGAUUUGGCGUCUCUAUAUUAGACGGGGAGCAGAUCGAAGAUAGCAGAACUGACAUUCGUAUGUUUACAUCAAAGCAGAUCGAAGAUAGCAGAUUUGGCGCUCUGUAUUUGACGGGAAGCAGAUCAAGGAUAUUAACAUGGCGUCUUUGAGUUUGCGAUGAGCAAAUUGAAGACCAGGAAAUCAGGAUCUGAUAAGAUUAGGCAAAUUUGGUCUUUUUAUAGUCUUUGCUCUAUUCCUGUUACACAGUAAUGAGCAAAGAGGGGCAGCUGUAAUAACCCAAAUUUACCCAGCCCGUAAAAUAAAAUAAAAAACAAAAACCAAAGAAAUAAUAAUUUUUUUACAGUCCAUUUACAAAACCCAAAUUGCUAGCCUAUUUACAUAGCCCAAUUGAAGCACUACUUAUGGCCCAUUUACAAAUCACACCGGUAGCCCAAAUACCUAAACUACCCAGUAGCCCAUUACAUCCUUAACCCAAAGAUACACGGGGCCCAAAGGGCCCAAACUAUUAACAGAAUCAGAGGACCUAGGGUUUUCUGAAACCCUAGGCUCCGUAAGCACCCUAAACCAGGCCUCACCUCGCACCCCAAUCGACGCGCCAGUACAUCAUCAUCAGCGCUUGAUCGUCGCUGGUUUUCUCGUCGUCACCUGCAAAAAGGGAAAGAAAUACACAGCAAACAUGGCAAGGAAUCAAACAGAAUAAAACACCAAAUUUGUACUUAGAAAACAAGGGCUAUAAAAGUCGAAUAUCUUCACUGUAGUAUGGACUAUUUUUUAUAGAGAUAUAAAGAGAUACACACAUAUACUUUUACAAUAAAAUACCAGCAUCUUAUCGAAGAAACAGAGGUGAUUUGCCUUUAUUUUUUUCUUUUUUUUUGUUAUAAAUACAUACAAAUAUCAUUAAAAUAAAAUAAAAGAAAUUUACCAUCAAAAUUGUGCUGAAAAUCGGAGCUCUUCAACUUUCGACCGCCGUACGUGGCGGAGUUGACGGCGGCGCGUGGGCGCGUGGGAGCCCUUGGACGGAGGCUCGACGGAGCUCCGAGAGCCUGCCCUCAAUCCUCUUUCAGAGGGUUUUUUUUUAAACGGGUUUAAAAUGAUUUUUGAGGCCAAAAUUUGGCUUAAAACAAUAGGCUUUAAAACGGUGUCGUUUCAAGGCUGAGGAUCCGCCUGUUGACUCAUGACCCGGGGAGGAUCCGCACGUUUUUGGCAAAUGGGCAAAUUGUUGUUUGAGCCCUUCCGCAUUUUUUAUUUUUUUUGUUUAAUUUUAAAUUUCUCUAUUUUAAAUCUGGCCCUAAUAGUUUGUUUCUGUUUCAAUUUGGUUCCUGAACCCAUUAAAGUGUAAUCCUUGAAACAGCGCCGUUUUGAGAUUAGGGCUAAUUGCCCAGUGAGCCCCUCGAAUUUUAGUUUGUGUUUCAAUUAGGGCCAAAAUUUUUCAUUUAAAAUUAACCUUAGAGUUUUGUUUUUAUUUAAUUUUAAUCUUUUUUAAUUUUUAUAUAAUUUAUUUAUUUUAAAUAUUAUAUAUAUUAUUAUUUAUUUUUACUAUAAACAUUAUUUAUAUAUGUAAAAAUGGUUAUUAUAUAUUUUAUUUUUAUUUUUAUUUGUGUAUUGUUUAUUAUAUUAUUUACAUUUUAUUAUAUAUUUUGAUUUAUACAUUUUAUUAUAUAUCAUUUUAUUAUAUAUAUUAUUUUUAUUCUAUUAUACAUUAUAUAAUUAUUUAUUAUUUAUUAUUAUGUAUAAUUUUAAAAAUUUGUAAAUUAUUAUUAAAUAAUACAUAUAUUAUUAUUAAAUAUUUAGUAUAUUAUGUAAUAUUCUAAAUUUACUAUAAAGUUUUGCUCCUAUUUAAUAUAAUAUUAUUUUUAUAAAUAUAUAUUAAGUUAUUAUAUUAUAUAGUAUAUUUAUAUAUAUUAACCAUUUUUUUUAAAAUUCUCCUUUCUUAUUUAUAUAUUGUUUUAAAUAUUUAUUUCUGAUAUCUCAUUUAUUUUUUAAUUAUAUUUAGUUUUUGUCUUUAUUUUUCUUUUUUUUAACCAUUUUUUAUAUGAUCAUAAUUUGUUUAUUAUCUUUAUUGUCAGUAUGUUGAUUUAUUUCAUAAAUUAUUUAUUAUUUUUAUGGUUUUUAUAUUUGCAUGAAAAUUGAUUAUUUAUGUUGUUAUUUUAAGUUAUAUUUGCAUGAAAUAUUAUUGUAUAGAUUAUGUAAUUUAUAUUGUUAUAUUCAUUGUUUUCUACGUAGUAUUGUGCAUGAAAUGAUAAUGUAUUUAUAUUAGGUAACUUGUGUCGGUAUUUAUCAUUGUUUUCUAAGUUAUAAAAGUCACACGCCCGUGUGCCUCACACGGCAUUAGACACACCCGUGUCUCUAAGCCAUGGCAAAAUAGGGCAUACAUACUGACUUGUCCAUACGGCCACAUGACACGCCUGUGUGUCAAGCUGUGUGAAAAUUAGGGAGACUACUGACUUGGGUUACACGGCCAGUCACAUGCCCGUGUGUCUAGCUCGUGCUCGAAACUGACUUAGCCAUACGGCUUGGCACACGCCCUUGUGUGCAACCGUGUGGUCUGCCCAGGCUCAUUUCAAAAUGGCCCUUGAGCAACAUGGCAGAGACACACGCCUGUGUCCCUGCCCAUUUGGGGGAAAAUAGGCCAUUUACAAUGCCAAUAUGCCACCCAUAUAGGGUCCUCCCUAUAAGCACCAAUUAAGCUUCAAAUGCACCAUAAUUUCAACCAAUUUUAAUCCCAAAACAUACAUCAUUCAUGCCAUAUUAUAAUAACCAAUUUCAUGCUUAUAAUCCAUACCAAAUCAUGUCAAAUCAUAAGCCAAAGUCACAACAAAACAUAUGUUUCAUAACCUCAAUUUACUUCAUUCAAUCUCAUGCCAUAAUCUUACCAAUUUCUCAAAUAAGCACAUACCAAAAUCUUACCAAAUUGACCAAUUCUCUUUAGCCAUCCAUAAACACCUCAUAUUGACAUAAUUUCAUCACAUAGUUUAUACUCAAAAGUCAUUCAUAAACACAACCAUAGCCAAGCCACAUCACAUGGCUAGAUAUUCACAACUCAAAAACAUAUCUCAAUUUAUCUAGACUAUACAUGCCAUACUUAAAUAUUUACACUUUCAAAAGGUACCAAAGUAAAGUUCAAUAGUGUGGUAAUGAUCUUCGACUACCCCCAAACUCCCGGUAGUUUCGAUAUCUAAAAAAUAUUGAAAAUACACACAAAGUAAGCUUUUAAAAGCUUAGUAAGACAUACAAAUAAAAUUAUCACAUAACACAUUUCUAAUUCAAUUCAUUCAUGUAGCUCAUGGCAAAACCUAACCACAUAUCCAAAAAUCUCAUAUUGCUCAUUUGUGCAUAAUUCACUUACAUAUAACACAUCUCAUUCUCAUAUAAUACAUAAAUAUUUCAUAUGACCACAUAUGUUCAUAUACUUACCUUUCAUUCUCAAUCAUGAUAUACAUUUAAAAUGUACCUGAAUUAAAUACACAUUCACAUAGUCAUUAAUUUCUCGGAAUGCCCGUUGAACCCUAUGGAAUCAAUAGGAUACGCGGAUAACUCAGAAAGCUCGUACAAUGCCAACAUCCCAGACGUGGUCUUACAUGUAUUCUAACAUCGAUGCCACUAUCCUAGACAGGGUCUUACACAAAAUCAAAUAUGAUACUGAUGUCCUAGACACGAUCUUACAUGUAAAUCUCAAAUCGAUGCCAACAUCCCAGACGUGGUCUUACACUAAAUCACAUAUCAGAAAUCCUAUGUCAUGACAUAUGUAUCCUAACUAUUCCUAUGGUUCGUACGGGCCUUUUCGGACGUCACCACAUUAUCAGAACUUUCUCAGAUUUCUUAUAUUCAACGCAAAUAGCCAAUCAUCACAAUUUAUCGGCAUAUAAGCCAUAAUAAUUCAAUACAAACACAUUUAUUUGUAUAUCGACUUACCUCGUACGGGAAUGAACAGAAACAAACAGUUAUUCAACUACUUUCGACUUUCCCUGAUCUAAUUUCUUUUUCUUUGGUUCUUGAUCUAGAUACAUUCAAAUUUAACUUAUUCAAUCUCACAUUCAUUCAAAUAAAUCCAUAUACACAUAUUUAGGGCAUUUUACAAAUUAGCCCUCAUAUUUUCACAUUUUAACACUUUAGUCCCUAAUCACAAAAAUCACAAAAUAUACAAAAUUUCAUUCCACACAUGCCUAGCCGAAUUUUCCUUUAGCUCAUAUAAGCCCACAUAUUUCAUUUAUUUCACAUUUUAGCCCUUUAGUUUCUCAUUUUCACAAUUUAGUCCAAAGUACUCAAAUUCAUCAAAAAUUCAAAGAUAAAACAUAUUAACCUAACACAUAUCUUUCAUUUUCCAUCAACUAACAUCACAAAGCUUACAAUUUCAUCAAUGGCAUAACUCAAAUUCAUCAUCAAAUUCAAAAAUUGAGACAUGGGCUUGAUCGAUUACUAAGCAAUAAUCACAAAAACGUAGAAAUUAUCAAAAACCGAGCAAAACACAUACCUAAAUCAAAGAAGACCAAGGCCCGAACCCCAACUUUAGUUUUUCUUUCUUUUUCUUCUUCAAUUUCCGGCAACAUGAAAUUAAUGGCCUAAUUGCAUGCCUUUGUUUUAUUUUAAUUAACAUAAUAUACUAAUUACUAUAAUAACCUUUGUUAAACCAUUAUAAAAUUACUUAAUGGAUGGUCAUUAAUGUACAUUAACCUUAGUUAUGAUCUAAUAACAUCAUAAGGACCUCUCCUUUAAUAAGACAUAACAAAUAGGGACACUUAACAUAUAGCAUGCAACUUUUACAUUUUAUGCGAUUAGGUCAUUUUUAUCAAAUCGGCACACAAAUAAUAAAAUUUUCACACGAAACUUUCACAGAUAUUAAUUCACAUAUUAUAAGCAUGGGAAAUAAUAUUAAAAUAUUUUUUUAACUCAGAUUUGUGGUCCCAAAACCACUAUUCUGACUAGGGUCUAAACCGGGCUGUUACAAGUUAAUUAGCCCUUAUCUUAAUUCGAAGUAAAAUGCAUGUUCUUCAUUAUGUUAAGAAGCAUAUCUUUUUAGCGGAAGCUUUGGAAAAUACUUAUUUUAGAAAAAUAGUUUGAUCUUAGUGAAAACUGAGUUUAUCAUGUCUAGUAGUAAUAAACUGUAAAAUAAUUUAAGAAACUGAAAACUUAAGCCAGACAGUCCAAAGUCCAUAAGUUACAUCAAACCUCCAAAAUAAGUAAUAAAAUUUGAAAAUUAAAUAAAACAGUCUAAAAUUUACGUGUGGCCACCAUCGAGUUCUCCGCUGCGUUGAUCCGUCAAGUCUGGGGAUUACCUGCACAGAUUAAACAGAAAAGGGUGAGUUUUCGCAAACUCAGUGUGUAAUCCCCAUAGAAAACAUGCAUACAGGAACACAUCAGAAUACAGUCAAAUACAGGCUGGGCCUGAGCCCAGUACAAACUCGGUCUGGGCCUUAGCCCAAUCAAAUAUAGUUUUAGAUAUAUAUAUUAGGGCCUUAGCCCAUUUCAGAUACAAUAUGCAAUAGCAGAAAAUCAGAAUCCUACCCACCAGCCUCUACACACCAUCUCCGUCCAUCCCUACACACCAUGUGGGAAUUAAAUCAACCCACCCAUCCCUACAGGCCAUGCUGUAUCGAAAUGCGGUACAUAAUAAAAAAUUUGCAGCAGAACUGCCAGAUAAUAGGCUUGAUAGCCUUUCAGACUUCCUCCAAAUAACAAUAACCCACCCCGAUGCAACACAACAUACAAAAGAUGUCAUGCUAUUAUGUAGUUACAGUCCAUACAUUCAGAUCAGCAUAUAUGCUCAAUUUAGAUAUCAUACAGAUAGUUCAUACAAUUAGGGGUCUAAGUAAUGCUUACCGACCCUAUAGUAGGUUCACAGUCGACUUGGGCGACCCAUGCAACCCUAAGCAACUUUUCAGAAACAUGGGCUCACACGCUCAUGUGGCCCACAUGGCCCAAUUUGGCCUUGGCCGUGUGGAUCAUACGGCUCGACCCAGAAUCCCACAAGCCCGUGUGGGCCCAUAAGCCUAUAUGGCCUACACGGCCCAGAUCGGUCUAGCCUGUGUGUCGCACACGGCCUACCUGGCCAUCACACGGCCGUGUCAUGCGCGCAAGGCCGGGCUCGUCGUUACCACGCCCGUGUUCUUUCACACAGCCUACCACAUGGGCGACCACACACCCGGUGGCAUAGACAGAAAGUUUUUUUGGCUUUUAGCUAAAUCUCGUUUUUUGCGUUUUCGGGUACACACCUGGUAUCGUUUUGUCGUAGAAAUACUUCCGAGAUAACUAGCACCAAAUAGUUGACAGAACCAAACCCAGAACCAAUCUUAAGAUUCGAUUAGAUCGAAAUUCGAAACCUACCACUCAUAUCACGCGUUUAACAUUUACCCCCAAAACUCUGAAUGGCUCGAUUACGAAACAGCACGAUGAGAACUCCGUUUCGCCCGACUCACUGUGGUCAAAACAUAGAUUCCCUAUUAACAAAGAAUUUCUCAUACUUCAAACGAUUUAAGCAAAAGAUUACCUACUCGAGUGAAAAGAAAAACACUUCCACUUACCAAACUAUAGCAGUCACACGUUGAAUAAAAGAAGACAAAACAGAAAAGAGGUCAAGAAGAAAAAUGAAGAUGGAGGAACGAAAUUUGGUAGAGAAGCGAAAGAAAAAAAAAGCAUCAGAAAUUUUAAAAAUAAAAUCAAAAUAAAAUAUUUUGAUAACUCUUCACCAAUUCACCUCCUAACCACCCACUCUCAGUCUUUUAGUACGAAAGAAACUCUUUCAAUCAAACGAGCAAAAAUAAAACACCAUCUUGCUAACACAGGGAUUCGAGCACAGAACCUUCAGCAAACCCACAUUCCACCUAACUACUAGACCAGCAGACCCAUUCUGAUAUAAGCUUAUCAACAAUUACUUAAAAGCCUACUGACCAAUGAUAAAGCUUAAUUCAGAAAAAUACCAAAAUUUAACCCCAAGUAAGGCUUGAACUUGGGACCUCCCACACACACCCAGAACAUAUAACCAUUUAAGCCGAUACACAGUUGUCACAUUUUAGCAGAAACAAAAAUAAGAAUUUUAGGGCGUUACAGCUCUACCCCCUAAAAGAAAAUUUCGUCCUCGAAAUUUACCUGAUCAGAAUAGAUUAGGAUACUCCAAACGUAUCGCAUCCUCAAGCUCCCACGUAGCCUCCUUAGUGCUAUGAUUCCGCCACAGCACAUUCAGAAAGGAAUAGAUUUCCUCCUCAGAACUUUAAUGUCGCAAUCCAGAAUCUGAACCGACUCCUACUUGAAGGUCAAGUCUGGCCUAACCUCAAUCUCCUCAACAGGGACAAUAUGCAUGGGAUCAGAGUGAUAGCGCCUCAACAUCGAGACGUGAAACACAUCGUGAAUAUGAUCUAACUCUCGAGGUAGCUCCAACUGAUAAGUGACUAGUCCCACUCGUUUCAGAAUCUAGUACGGCCCAAUAAACCUAAGGCUCAACUUGCCCUUGCGACCAAACCUCAAAACCUUUUUCCAUAGCGAGAUCUUCAGAAACACGAAGUCCCCCACAGAAUACUCAAUCUCAUGUCUCUUCAGAUCAGCAUAAGACUUCUGUCUGUCAGAAGCCGUUUUUAGACAAUUUCGAAUCAGUCUAACCUUAUCCUCAAUCUCAGAAACCAACUCAGGACCCAGAACACGUCGUUCACCCAACUCUAUCCAGCAUAGGGGAGUACGACACUUACAACCAUAUAGAGCUUCGUAAGGUGCCAUCUGAGUGCUAGAUUGAAAGUUAUUAUUAUAGGUGAACUCGGCUAGCGGCAGAUAGUCCUCCCAACUGCCUUGGAAAUCAAUCACGCAGCUCCUCAACAUAUCCUCCAGUAUCUGAAUCACCCUCUCAGAUUGACCAUCAGUUUGAGGAUGGAACACAGUACUGAAGUCCAAUCUCAAACCCAAAGCCUCAUGCAACUUCCCUCAAAAUUGAGACGUGAAGCGAGGAUCCCUAUCAGAGAUAAUCAAAACUGGUACCCCAUGCAGCUCACUACCUCAGAAAUAUAAAGCUUAGCCAGCUUCUAUAGCGAAUAGUCCGUACGAACCGGUGUGAAGUCUGCUGACUUGGUCAAUCGAUCCACGAUGACCUAAACAUAAUCCUUCUUAGUGGGUGUCAAGGGUAGCCCACUAAUGAAGUUCAUCAUCACACGUUUCCACUUCGAAAGGGGAAUCUUAAUCGGGUGUAACAAACCCGAAGGUGACAGGUGCUCAGCCUUAACCUGCUGGCAUGUCAAGCAUCUAGCCAUAAAAUUGGUAACUUUUUAUUUCAGUCCUGGCCACUAGUACAACUCACGGAGAUCUCGGUACAUCUUGUUCCCACCAGGGUGCAUAACAUAAGGGCUACUAUACACCUCUCGCCUCUCUAAGUAUAGACUACCUUAGAUCAGAAUCAUUCGGCACACAUAUCCGGCCUCAGAAACACAACACACUCUUAGAGUUCAACCCAAAAUCUGUAGUGCUACCACUCUCAAUUUGUCGAAACCGAAGACCCAAAAACUCAUUCUCCAACUGUUUACCCUUAAUCUACUCGAUCCAAGUUGGUUUAACCUGAAGCUCAGCUAACAAACUACCAUCACCAAAUAAACUAAAGCGAGCAAACAUCAGCCUCAGAUCAGACAUAGCCCUAUGGUUCAAAGCAUCAGCCACCAUAUUGGCCUUGCCAAGAUGGUACUCGAUUGUGCAGUCGUAAUUCUUAAGCAGCUCGAUCCAUCUACGUUGCUUAAGAUUUAGCUUUUUUUAGGUAGGGAGGUAUUUGAUGCUCUUGUAAUUAGUGUAGAUGAUACACCUCUCACCAUACAGAUAAUGCCUCUAGAUUUUUAGCACAAAUACCGCUGCGGCCAACUCCAAGUCAUACGUCAAAUAAUUCACCUCAUAAGUGUUAAGUUGACGAGACGCAUAUGCAACCACAUUACCAUCCUGCAUCAACACACAACCCAGAUCGACAUGUGAUGCAUCACUAUAUACCACGAAGUCUUUACCAGGCUCAGGCUGUAUCAGAAUAAGAGCCUGAGUCAGAACAGUCUUGAGCUUCUCGAAGCUUUCUUACUAUGCAUCAGUCCACACAAAAGGAACUCCGUUACACAGAAGCUUAGUUAAUGGAGUUGCGAUCAAGGAGAACCCUUCUACAAAACACCGAUAGUAACCCGUUAACCCUAGAAAGCUGUGGAUCUCAGACACAUUCUUCGACUGUUUCCAAUCCAACACCGCCUAGAUCUUAUGAGGAUUGACUCAUAUCCCCUCAACAGAAACUAGAUGUCCCACAAAUGUUACUUCCCGAAGUUAGAACUCACACUUGCUGAACUUCGCAUACAGCUGUUUCUCACGAAGAAUCUUUAAUACCACUCUAAGAUGCUCAUCGUGCUCAUAUUUAGUCUUAGAAUACACCAAAAUAUCAUCAACAAAAAUCACCAUAAACUGAUCCAAGUAGGUCUAGAACACUCCGUUCAUCAAGUUUAUAAAUGCCGCUAGCGCAUUAGUCAAUCUAAAGGGCGUCACUAGGAACUUGUAGUGACCAUAACACGUCCUAAAUGUCGUCUUAUACACAUCAGCCUCCUUAACCCUCAAUUGAUGAUAACCCGAAUGUAGAUCAAUCUUGAAAAACAUAGAAGCCCCUCUGAACUGGUCGAACAAAUCAUCCAUCCUCGAAAGUAGGUAUUUAUUCUUAAUUGUUAGCUUGUUUAACUGUCGGUAGUCGAUACACAUCCUCAUUGUCUCAUCUUUCUUUUUCACAAACAACAUAGGUGCUCCGAUGGAGACACAGUGGGACGAAUGGACCCACGAUCCAACAACUUCUAAAUCUAAUCCUUAAGCUCUAUAACCUUCUUUAAUGCCAUUUGUUAGGGGGCGAUAAACAUCGAAGCUGUACCCGAAAUAAGUUCAAUCCCAAAAUCCACUUCUCGACUUAGAGGCAAACCCGAUAGCUCCUCAAGAAAGACAUCUGGAAAAUCUUUUACAGCUCUGAUGUCCUUCACAGAAGAAUCCCCAGAAUCAGAAACACUUACAUAGGCUAAAUAUGCCUCACAUCCUUUUUGGACCAACUUUUUUGCCACCAAUGCAGAAAUCACAUUAGUCAGAAAAUCCCAAUGUUCCCCAAUCACAACCACCUCAUCGUUCCCCUCAAUUCUCAAAACAAUCCUCUUAGUCGCACAGUCUAGACUUACUCGAUGCUUGAUCAACCAGUCUAUUCCCAAAAUAAAGUCGAACUCCUCGAACGAAAGCUCCAUCAAAUCAGCCAAAAAAAUGUCCCUUGGACCCCUAACAAACGUCUCUAUACAAUUUGCUAACUCAGAUAAAUUGCCCCAAAGGACUCACAACAGUCACCUCACUAAGAGUACUCUCAACUAGAAUCCCCAAAGUUUCAAAUACAGUGCUAGCUACAUAGAAGUGUGUAGAACAUAUGUCUAUUAAUGCCAGAUAAGGUACAUUAUAAAUUAAAAACGUACCCGUAUGACGUCUAGAGUAUCUUAUUAUCUCGUCAAUGAGUAACAUAAACAAGAGCGAGCAACCUUGCCUCAGUAUGUCUAGCACCUCUACCCGGUGCUCUCUGUCCACGACCCAUGCUGUUACCACCCCUAGCCUAACCACGGCCCCUAGGUGGCUACUGAACUACCCCCGGCGGCUACACGGUACCAAAACCCAGAGCUUGCAUCUGAUCAGCCCUCAGUGGACACUCUCGAACGCGGUGCUUAGUAGACCCACAUCUCAAACAUGCCCCAGUCAUCCUUCAACAUUCGUCCGAAUGGCGUCUACCACAAUGCCCACAAGGCAAGAUCCUAGUAGGUGGAAUAGGGGCUCCAACUCUAACUGGCCCAUCAGGUCUGGCCUUUUUCUUAGGCCUCAUCGCAGAACUCAAGGGCUACGAAUCCCUCUUAUUCUUGUCUUACGCCUUAUCUCGGUUUUGGAGUUCAGCGCGCUUCAGCUCGUCAACGAUCUUCGCCUUCUCUACUAGUGCUAAAAAAUACUCCUUCUGCGGAGCUAUCAGAACUCUCAAACUGUCUUUGAAUCCAUCCUCGAAGUGUACACAACGCUCAUAUUAAGUUGCCACUAUACCUCACACAUAACAGCUUAAUCUCAAAAACUCGGCCUCAUACUCGGCCAUUGAACGAUCCCCUUGCGUGAGAUUUAGAAACUCACGUUUCCUAGCAUCGAUGUAGCUUGCCCUCACAUAUUUACCUUGGAAAGUAGACUUAUAGAAAUCUCAUGUCAGUCGUUCGAGCUGAGUGCCCUCCUUAACGGUCAGCCACCAUUGGUAUGCUUUAUCGCGAAGUAAGGAAACAACCCCUUUCAAUUUCUGUUUAGGGGUAAAGUCCAAAUCAUCCAUGAUUCUUUCCGUGGCCUCUAUCUAGUACUUGGCCACGUUAGGGGUGACCCCAGUGACACCCCUAAAUAGCUCAGCCCUGUUGGACUGGAGUCAUUCUAUAACCGACCCUCAGCCCCCAGAUCUAGUAUUGGGCCCAGCGACCCUCUCCAAUAUCCUAAGCAUAACUUGGGACAGUACGUCGUCCCGAGCCAUGCGGUUUUGAGACCCAAUCUCCAUUGUAGGUGAAACCGGUAUCUCACUCGUGUCUAAAUUAGGCAUGCUGCCAGAUGAUAAUGACUCAGCUCGAGCCCCUCUACGGCCCCUUCCACGGCCUCUAGUACCCCAUCCACGGAUACCUUAUACACUCAUCGCGGAUUCGAUGUUUAUCUACAUUAAUAGUUUUAUGAAUCACUUACAAUUUCAAUAUUUAUUAGCAGAUAUUUUAUGCAAAACAGUAUCAGAAGUUUAAAGUUUGCUAUCACGAAUCGCAAUCUUAGUACAGUUUUCAAUUUCGCUACUAUUUUCAGUAUACACUAUCUACAGUGUUUUCAGUACAGUGUACUACCUAUAGUAGUUUGAGAAUAUACUAAUCAUAUUUCCAAAAACUUAUCAUAGUUUAUAGAACACUUACAGGAUCAGCGCCGGAGACUCGAUGCACCGCAUAUUCAGUCAAAAAUAUUUCAAACCAUUUAAAAAUCAUUUCUUUACAACCAAGUUUUAAAACCCAAAUCCACAGUCGAGUUUUGCAACCUGACUCUGAUACCACUAAAUGUAACACCCCAAACCCGGCUUAAACGUUAUGGCUGAAUUUGGCGAUGUCACAUAGAAUGGGAAUUUAAAAACAAGUUUGUUGAGUUAAAACCAUUCUAGUUAAUUAGCCCUUAUCUUAAUUCGAAGCAAAACGUAUGUUCUUCGUUAUGUCAAGAAGCGUAUCUUUUUAGCGGAAGCUUUGGAAAAUACUUAUUUUAGAAAAAUUGUUUGAUCUUAGUGAAAACCAAGUUUAUCAUGUCUAGCAGUAAUAAAUCGUAAAAUAAUUUAAGAAACCAAAAACUUAAGCCAAACAGUCCAAAGUCCAUAAGUAACAUCAAACCCCCAAAAUAAGUAAUAAAAUCUAAAAAUUAACAAAAAUAGUCUAAAAUUUACGUGUGGCCAACAUCGAGUUCUCUGCUGCGCUGAUCCAUCAAGUCUGGGAUUACCUGCACAAAUUAAACAGAAAGGGUAAGUUUUCGCAAACUCAGUGUGUAAUCCCCACAAAAAACAUGCAUACAGGAACACAUCAGAAUACAAUCAAAUACAGGCUGGGUCUGAGCACAUUACAGAUUCAUUUUAGGCCUUAGCCCAAUCAGAUAUAGUUUCAGAUAUAUAUAUUAGGGCCUUGGCCCAUCACAAAUACAAUAUACAAGGGCAGAAUAUCAGAACCCCACCCACCAGCCUUUACACACCAUCUCCGUCCAUACCUACACACCAUGUGGGGAUUAAAUCAACCCACCCAUCCCUACACACCAUGUUGUAUCGAAAUACGACACAUAAUCAGAAAUUUGCAGCAGAGCUGGCAGAUAACAGGCUUGAUAGCCUUUCAGACACUUCCUCCAAAUAACAAUAACUCACCCGAUGCAAUGCAACAUACAAAAGAUGUCAUGCUAUUAUGUAGUUACAGUCCAUAGAUUCAGAUCAACAUACAUGCUCAGUUCAAAUAUCAUACAGACAUUUCACACAAUUAGGGGUCUAAGUAAUGCUUGCCAACCCUAUAAUAGGUUUACAGUCGACUUGGGUGACCCAUGCAACCCUAAGCAACUUUUCAGAAACAUGGGCUCACACGGCCAUGUGGCCCACACAGCCCAAUUUGGCCUUGGCUGUGUGGAUCUAUCAUACACGUAAUUUAAUUCAACUCUACUUUUAACUUAUAAAUACGAAAAAUGUUGUGGUUGAGUUCAAGAAAAUGAAGAAAAGGUAUUGAACAUGUAAAUAAAUAAGGUCAGUAACAAGUUCAUUAUUAAUGAUGUGUUUAAUAUAUAGAUCCAUGUAUUCGUGUAUUUUGAAUACGUAAUGAAUAAAGUGCAAAAUAAGAUGAGUGAUGGUUCUAUUGACUUGAAACCAUGACCAAGAAAAUGGACCAGAAUAGACAAGCUUCAGCGGGGUGAGGCAAUUGUGAAUGCGGAUCAGGUUCUAAUAUGUACUUACUGAGAUAGGUGUCAUUCAGGCGAUUAUUGGAGGAAAAUGGGGGUGUGUUUAAGAUGUGGGUCUAUUGAGCAUUGAGUUUGGGAUUGUUCACAAAACUCUUUUAGUCAGAUACAAUCUUCGAUACAGAAAUAGAAUCUGAGACGUGGAUAUGCAACUAGGUGUCGAGCGAGCCGUGGUGCAUCUAGUAAUGAUACAGGUACUUUUAUGAUAUGUUCCAAAUGUACUGUAUAUUGAUAAGAAUUGUUUGUGCCUACAUUUUAUGGUAAGUGAUGUUUUUUAGAGUCUAGCGUAAAGGAUCGUUAGUGAUGUUUCGAUGGAAAUCUUAUUGAGGUAGUCCGAGGUAGUGAAUAGGAAAUUCCUCUGAAAUAUUAUCUAAAUUGGGUUUGAAUAGAGAGUAGAGUUGUACAACGAUAGCAUGAUGGUUGGUUUGGACUAGGGAAUUUUAGAUUUUGCGGUUAAGUGUAUGGUGUAACAGUAGGAAUUUCGAGGAUGAAAUUCUUUUAAAGAGGGGAGAGUUGUCACAUCACAAAAAUCGGGUUAGAAAAAAUUGGGUAAGUGAAACCAAGAGUGACCAUAUUCUGAAUUUUUAGUUAAUAUUGUAAAAAUUAUGUCAAUGGAGUAAACCUGGUUUAGUGGAUAGGUGUUAUGCUUGUGUGUGUGAGGUUCUAAGUUCAAAUUUUUCCUUUGAAUUUUUGUCAUCUUUGGUCUUAACCUCUUUCCCUGAUCAUUUUUCAUAAAUAAUAUUUUUGUUCAAUUGAUUUUAAGGUUGAGCAUGUUAAUUCAGUGGUAAGGCUUCAGAUUACCCUAAAGUUUCAUGUUUGAGACCCUAUGUGUGCAAAGUAGAAAUACUUUUAUUUCCUUACACUAUGUUGCCCAUGCGAUGGUAUUUGGUUGGAUUUAAACUCAAAGAGAAUCUAUUUAGAAGGUAGUCAGAUUUAGUGGGUUGAGUGGUUAGUUACUUUUUAUUUUCCCAAAAUCUCUCUACAAACUGCCAUCACUUUCCCACUCCUUCUCUUUGCCAUCUCAUUGAUUUUUUUUCCAAUCUCCAUAUUCUUGAUUUUUAACCAUUUUUGCUCCAAUAAGUCUUUGUUAAUCUUUUUGCUGAUAACGACCUUUUUUCCAUAUUUUGUUGCCUUUUGGUUUCAAUUUAACCUUACGAAGGACAAUUAUAGGCCAAAAGUUCAUUCAUACUAUACCUAACCAAUAUACCCUUCAUAGGCACCUCAUGUAACACCCCUAACCCAUUUCCAUCGCAGAUUAGGGUUACAGAGCGUUACCAAACAAUCGAAGCAUUUAACAUAUUCACAUUCAAAUAAAUUAAACAAAUUAUAAUCCAUUCAAUAUCAUGCAUGUUGUCCCUAAAUCGGGCAUUCUAGGCUCUAAAAGUAGGUUAGAAUUAAUUUGAGACUAAUUUGAAACAAAACAAAAAGUUUAAGAUAAGUUAUAAAAAUUGGAAAAUAGGGGUCACACGGGCGUGUGAAAUCAUCCCAAGUCGUAUAACUUUCGAACAAGGGACACACGACUGUGCCCCAGCCCAUAUCCUCACCUGUGUAACUCACUGGGUAGGGCCAUACGGCCAUGUCACACGCCUGUGUGCCAGGCCGUGUGCUAGGCCAUGUGAACCCAUAAAUCACUUAAAUCAAGUCAUUUCACAAACAAUUCAUGCAUAACAACAUGAUCAAAUUUGUGCACACUUUUAAGGAACCUAAGCAUCAUUCAAACAUGCAUAAAUAUGCCAUUCCAAGCAUUCUAAGUCACCUAACAAAUAUGCCAUUCAAGGCACCACAAAUGCAUCAAAACAUAAAAUACCUAAACAUGCCAAUAUUUCCAUAAUCCAAACAUAAUAACCAAGUUCAAUUAACUACCAUUUAAAACCAAAUGCAAACCAUCAAAACAUACCAAAGAACCUUAAAUACAAGCAUAGUAAGGUAACCGAAAUGACACAACUUGGUAAGGCAUCAAAAUGUACUAAACCAACAUAACUUUCAAAACUUAUACAUAUCCAAAAACAUCAUUAACACAUUCAUCAAAAUACCAUUCUCAAACCGUCACAAACAUACCAAAAGAUCAUGCUUAUCAAUCACUAAAAGUGGUCAACUUGACCUUAUUUAACAAGCAAUACAAGUCCAUCAUAUAAACAUAAACAUAAACUUCAAGACACACGCAUACUAAAUCAACCAUUUAAUACAUCCAUGAGCCAUCAAUAUAAAAUACCUAUACAUGCCAUUAUUAACCUUGGCCAAAAUACUCAAAAACUACCGAAUUGAUUGUUGAAUAGUGUGACAGGUCUUCGACGAGCUUCCAACCAAAUUGAGCUUCUGAUAAUCUAAAAAGUAAAGAAAAAUAACUACAUAAGUAACGAGUUCUUAGUAAGCUCGCAUAAACUUAAACACAACUUACCAUUUCAUUAUUACAACUCAUAGAUUAAGUAUAAAUCAUUACCAAACCAUAAGAUUAGUAUGAGCCUAUUGAAACACCAUCAAACUCACAAAUUAGUAAGUUCAUCAACAUCAUAUAUAAAUUCAUUUAUAACAUAAGUUUUCAUAAGAUUAUGAACCUUUCCACUUACUUACUUACUAGACCACCAAAUGCUUAGUAAAAGCCUAAACAACAUCAUCAAUUCACAAGUUAGUGCACUUAUCCAUGAUAUAAAUAAGUUUAUUCAUAACAUAAGUAGAUUUCCCAUAUAUAAGUACAUCAUUUAACUCAUCAAUCUUUUUAUAACAUCAAGUUACAUCUCAAUUGUGAACUUACCAUUUCAUUUCCUUUUCUUACCUGUUGAACCACCUAGAAUUACAUUGGAUAUUAGGGAAAGCUCACACAUAGUGUGCCUUUACAUAUAACCGUAACAUUUCCUUUACAUCAAUGUUCACACGAGCUGUGAAAUGAGCCUGCUCACACGAGCUGUGAAAUGGGCCUGCUCACAUGAGCUGUGGAGAACUCACAACAAUGCAGGACUUCAGCCAUUGGUAAGACAUUCAAGACCAGCACCCGAAACAUAAAAUCCCUAAUGACAUGCUAUUUGUAUCCUAAGAAUUCUUAAAAUUCAAUCGAAACUUAAUAGCCGUCAAUUCAUCAUAGCAUUAGUACAUUUAUAUAGUAAUUCAUUUACAUUAAAAUGACAUAACAAACUGUCAAAACCAUUUUUGAAUUUUGAACAAAAAACGGUGAUCAACUUUAAAACGAAAUAUGGAGUCGCCACCAAUCUUUUUUGUUUAGGUGUGAUCAGAUUUCCUAAUAAAGCAUUUCAUUUUAUUAAAAUAUUAAUUUUUGCCUGCGAAAUUCAAGAAAACGGGUUCGGGAGUCGGUUACGUAGAGGAAGGAUUAGCACCCUCUCAACGCCCAAGAUUGGUAUCUAAUUGAUUAAUUAAUGUCCUAUUGUCGAAAAUUUGAAAAGAUUUUGAAAUACAAUCCCUUUUUUAAAAAAAAGUUUGGAUGACUUGAAAUGAAUAUCAAGAUUCUCUUGUCCCGUAAUAAUAAAAUAUCAUGUCUAGCACAUUAGGAUACGACAUUUCAAAUCCACAAUACCAAGAUCGUCUCAUGAUUUCCAAAGUUCAUAUAUUGACAAUUUAUAAAAGGGUAUUUGGCUAUUUGGUCAAACGAAAAAAAUUGAAACCCAAUACAUUAGGGCACGAUUUCUCGAAUUCCCAAACAUGGAAUAUUGCCUUCGUUUUUAGCAAACUCUUUGUUUUAUAGCAAUGAUUUCAAAAUAGGAACGAUGUUAAAAUGCGACAUUUUUAAGCGAAAGAAGUGCGGUGGAAUAAUAAUAUACAACCCAAAGUAGUAAUUUACAAGCAAAAUGCCACAAUAUUGAGUCACAAAUAACUAAUAAAGAAUUAUAAUACCCGUGAUCGCAAUAGAUACAUAAUAUACAAUCUAAACAUUUACAAUCGAUGGAAUUGACACAAAAUGAUAUAUCUAAGAAAAAGAUAAAGGAUAAAAAAUAAAUUAUAUGAAAAAGAUUAGAAUAAAUAAUAAAAAGAGUAAAAAAAAAUACAAAGGUUUAAAACAAUGAGAUAAAAACAAAUGAAAGUUUAAAAAUCAACUAUUGUAAGUAGGAUGAAAAUAGAUAACAUAUAACAAACCAAAUUUUAAAAUAAAAAAAUAUAAAUGGAAAUAAUAUAAAAUAAUUAAUAUGCAAAAUGAUUUUAAAAUAUACAAAAUGAUUUAAAACAAUUAAUUUAGAAGCAACUUAAAUUAACCUAUAAAAAUUUAAAUUUACUAAGUUUGAAAUGAAUAAUAUAUAAAAAAAAUGCGAAACGGUUUAAUAAAAGUAGGAUAUAAGAUCUUAAAAUAAAUACUCAUGAAACGAUUUUUUUGAAUGAAUAAUACAUAAAAAAUUAGAAUAAAUAAUCUAUGAAAAUAACUUAAACUAACUAAUAUAUAUAUAUGAAUAUUCAAAAUUAAUAAUAUAUAAGCUCAAUAUAAAUGACAUACGUGAAAGAAAUUUAAAAAAUAAUUGAAAAAAAUAAUAUAUAGAAAGAUUUAAAAUGAAUAAUAAUAAUAAUAAAACAGGAAAGUAAUAAAUAAAUAAAUCAAAACAGGUUAAGGACAAAUUUGAAAUUAAAACAAAAUCUGAAAUCUAAAAACUAAACAUUAAUCAACAUGAGGAUCAAUAUAGAAUGCACGCAAACAAGUAAGGAUUAAAAAUGAAAUUAUCCCCAAGCUUUUGAACGCAGCGUUUAACUAUAGACCAAAUUAAAACUGCGCCUAAAUAUCGAGAAAAAAUUAAAAAAAAAAUAAAAGAACUAGAAAGGGGACCCAAUCAAGUAACAACACAAAGGGGAUGGAUGAAUAGCGAAAAUAUCCCUUUAGAAAAAAAACGCGCGAACCCUAUCUGCUGGUGGGAUCAACGCGCGGCCCUCCUGCUUUCAAAACGACACCGUUUCUUUUAUUUAUAAAAACUAAAUUUCAGCCUUAAAAACCAUUUUUACUGAAACCUAACAUUUUUUUGACAAAAAAGAAAGGGUUUCCUCUUUUGGCUUUCGGACAUGCCAAUCGAUCACCACCGCACCACCACUAUGUCUGGUGGUCGGCCAUGUGCGAAGAGAGCUCCUUACCCACUCAAACCACGCUCAAAGGCUUAACCAUUUUUAGUAUUAGGGAAGAAAAAUCAAAAAGAGGAGACUCAACCCUUUUUUAAAUCGAUUUCGGAGAAGACGAGGCUCUAACGAUGAACCCAUAGGUGAGUACCUUCCCUCCUUUUGUCUUUUACAUGCAAUGAAUAAAGAUUGAGGAAAUGGAAACGAAAAUAAAAGAAGAACGAGAUCUAAAAUCACCUUAAAAACUAAUUUCGAAUUGAUUUCUCUUCUUUCAAUAUGCAUGUGUUCGUUUUUUUCCUUUCCAUAUACAAUCGGCCCCCUUUUUUAUAGCCGAAUACAGGUAAAAAUAAAUAAAUACAAAUUUCUUUUAUUCUUUCUGCAAUCUGCUGUUGCUUUGCUGUUGUAGUUGUUAGUUUGUUGCAGGUGUGUCCAACUAGAGGACCAACGUGGAGGUCAUGGAGGCGCGAAGAAAGCCGUGCGUGGUAGCUGCGGCGCAAACUGCUUUAAGAAACCCUUAGGGUUGCUGGAAUUUUGGGUUAUUGGCUUGGGCCAUUUGGGCCGGUUACGGAGUUGGGGCACUAUAAUUUGGUCUAUUUGGGGUUUUGGGUGUUAUGGGAUUUUGGGUUUUAAUUUGGGUCUGGUAUAUUUCUGGGUUAAAUCUAUUAUUGGGCUUGUAAAAAAUGGACUAAUUUGGUAUUUUGAAAUGCUGUUAUAAAUGGACAUUGGACCUUUAAAUAAUCUAGUUUAUUAUAUUUUUGGUUUUAAUUUGUGUAUGAGCCAGGGCGAAAUGAGCUUUUUACACAAACAUUCAAUUUAGAUGACAUUAAAAUGAUUACUGUUUAUACGAAUUUACCUUGAUAGUUAGGGCAUGGUAAAAUAAUUGAACUAAUCUGAAGCUUUACAGCAUGUUUGGUUACUAAUCUGAAGCUUUACAGCAUGUUUGGUUGGCUGUAAUAGAAUAGGACUAUAAUUGAAUAGAGUUGUAAUGGAAUAGAGCUGUAAUAAGUAAUUCAACUGUUUAGUUGAAUGGAAUGGAAUAGAAUUGUAAUAGUAUUCUUGUAUUUGGUUGAAUGGAAUGAUAUUA
rnacentral:lncRNA from 1 species